rnacentral:lncRNA from 1 species
UCCGGCGUGGUGCGGCCGUUCAUGUGGUCGCGCUGGCGUGCUCUGACCGCACACGCGUGUAAGAGCAGUGGAGGAGUGGGAUGGAAACCCUGAAUGGAAUGUGAGGGCAUCGCGCUAUCGCUGGAUGGGAGGGAUUGGUUGGUUGGAGAUCUCGCGGAUAUCUCGUCGUACGUGGUCGGGAUGCAAUCUGAUAGGCGGGCCUUCUCAGGGUCUUGAGAAAUGUUAAUUUGCAUUGAUUGCAAUCGGGGUGCUGGAUUCUGUGGCGCAAACAAAAAAAUGGCCCGGAAGAAAGGAAUCAGUCUCUUCAGUCCAGCUCACCCUAUUAUCAUUAACAUAUUGUCAUUAAUGAAACUAUUUUGACCUUGAAGCAUGUUAUGCAAAGGCUUGAUAUAAUUGAAAAUAAAAUUUCCACUAAAUAACAAAUUGAGGAGUUGGAUAAAAUAUUCAUACUAAUAUCACUCAAUUUGGAUCAAAGGUAGGAUUUACUUUGAAAGCAUUAAAGGAGAAAGAUACAAUUAUUAAUGAGCGCGUAGAGCAAGAUUUGAGUAUUUUAUAUAAUGGAGGAAGUCACUGAUAAAGUGGGUUAUGCUUCCACACCCUCUAAAAUUAAUGCUAUUACCUCUCAAAGAAAAAUUCCAAGGUUAUGUAUGUCCCUAAGAACACUAGUAUCACUCCUAUCAAAAGAAAGAAGGAUAUUAAAAUGAUUAGUGUGCAUCCCAAUUUUAUAAACAUGAUAAGAGACCCUAUCUUCAAGCCUCCUAUUUUUUCUAAGAAGCAUGGUUGUGUGAUUGAGGAGUUUGACAAGAAUACAACACUUGAAACUAUGCAUUAUGAAUAACUAGGGGCGUAAAACGAUAGCGCUUGUUAAGAAGCAACCCAAGAGUCAUCUUAAUUUUAUUGUUCUAUUUUCUGUUUUGUGUGAGGUAACAUGAUUAUUGAUACUGUAAUUAUUGUGUUUUUAUGUUUAAAUUAGUGUUUGUGUUAAGUAAAGCCUUUUGGAUGAUUUGAAUGAUAAGUAGAAUUGAAACGGUGCAAAAACAGAAACUUUUGCGUCUAGUGCAGAAUUUCUCUAAUUUUACUGGAACAUCUUUUUGAUAUGAAUUUUUUACACAAUAUUGGUAUACAAAUUUUGCAGGUUUUCUUGACUUUUCAGAAUUACAGGAGUUAUAGAAGUAGGUUGUCUUUGGUGAUCACUACAGACUGUUCUGUUUUAGACAGAUUCUAUUUUUACUUGCAUAGUUUGCUUGUUUUGAUGAUGCUAUUGAUUAUAUCGAGGGGUAUAAUUCAUGGAGAAGUUAUAAUACAAUACCUUAUGCAAUAAUAAAAUAUGAAUCAAUUUAUAAUAGCACCCAAUGUUUAUGGUUCGCCUAUCCUACUAACAGAUCUCACGAGAUUUCUGUUGAGUUUUGUGUGGUGAAAUUUUCAAGUUUUGGGUGUUAUCACGAUGGACGGAGGAAUAAGGAGCGAAAAAGAGACUAAGCUUGGGGAUGCGCAAGUAACCACGAGUUAAAUUCUAGGAAGACUCAAGCGUCUAAGCUUGAGGAUGCCCCGGAAGGCAUCCCCUCUUUCGUCUCAAUCAAUCGACAUGUCACUUGAAGAUAUAUUUUUAUUCAUCAUAUGAUAUGAGUUUUGCUUGGAGCGUCGUUUAUUAUAGUUUGCUUUUGUUUUAAUUUCCCACAAUCAUUGUUUACUGGACACACCCACUUGAUAUAGACACAUGUUCAACAUGAUUUGUUAGAAUACUCUAUGUGUUUCACUUAUAUCUUUUGAGCUAAGCAGUUGCUCUAGCACUUCACUUAUAUUUUGUAGAGCACAGUGGCGUAUAGAUUUCUAGAAAUCAUUGCACUCUCGUUCUUCACUUAAACAUGUUUGAGAGUUAAUAAAUAGUGACGAUAAUUAAUAUGUGUUGUAAGACUAGUUAAAAAAUAAUAGGUAUUCAAGGAGUGCAUAAUCAAAUCCUUCAUGUAGCACAUAAAAGAGAAUUUGUGAGUUAAUGAUAUUGAUAUGCUAAUAUGAAAAGGGCGUGAGUGCAUGGUUGUUGGUUAGUAAAUAUAUCGAUAGUUAAAGGGUGUUAAUUUUUUUUGUUCAUCUAAAUAUUGGCUAUGGCAUGGUGAUGAUGUGUGAGCAUUCUUAUUCCUCAUUGAAAUCCUAGUGUUGUUUAGGUCGGGGGCGCGCGAUGGAUAACUCCUACCAACCUCCUCCCUAGGGGCAUGUGAGUAGUACUUUGCUUAGAGAAAUCUAAUAAAAUAUUGUGAUAAGUAUACGAGUUCUUAUGGCUAACGUGAAUCCAUGGAUCUACGGCAUCUCACCUCCUCAUGUUUGCUAGCCUCUUCGAUAUCAUGCGUUCUCACUCUCACCUCAAGGAUCGGUGCAAACUUCGGCCGUGCAUCCAAAUCCAACGACAUGAUACACUAUGUUGCACAUAAGACACCUUAUAUCUUCCUCAAAACAGUCACCAUACCUACUUAUCAUGACAUUUCCAUAUCCAUUCCGAGAUAUAUUGCCAUGCAACUUCCACCAUUACAUCAUAUGACUAGUACACUCAUUGUCAUAUUGCAUUGCAUGAUCAUGCAGCUGACAUAGUAUUUGUGACAAAGCCACCGUUCAUCAUUGUUAUAAAUGUUACGCUAGACCAUUGCACGUAUUGGUACACUGUCAGAGGCAUUCGUAUAGUCAUAUUGUUUAGUAGUUUUUUAUUGAGUUGUAAGUAAAUAGAAGUGUGACGCUUUUCAUUAUUAGGGCACUUUCUAAGUGAGGAAAGGAUGAUGGACACUAUGAAUCCCCACAAGUCGAGAUGAGACUCCGGACAAAAAAUAAAAUGAAAAAAUGAAAAAAAAAANNNNNNNNNNAGGAAAAAAUAAAUAAGACAAAAGAGAAGGGACAAUGCUACUACCUCUUUUUCCACGCUUGUGCUUCAAAGUAGCACCAUGUUUUUCAUAUAGAGUCUCAUGUAUUUGUCACUUUAAUAUGCUAGUGAGGUUUUUUCAUUAUAGAAAUUGACUUGUGUAUUCCGAUGACAGGCUUCCUCAAAUACCCGAGGUCUUCAUGAGCAAGCAAGUUGGAUGCACACCUACUCAAAUUCAGUUGAGCUUUCAUACACUUAUAGCUCUAGUGCAUCCUUUGCAUGGCAAUCCCUAUUCCACACAUUGAUAUUGACUGAUGGAUGUACCCAUAGCCCGUUGGUCCACCUAGUUGAGGCGAGACUUUCUUCUCCAUGUUUACCCCUUUGAAAACUACCACCAUAUUCUAUUCCACCUAUAUGCUAUGUCCAUGGUUCACACUCGUGUAUUGAGUGAGUAAUAAAAAGCCGAAGCACGUUAAGAAGUAUGACCCAAUUGCUUGGCUUAACACCGUGGUGCUUGAAAUUUAUAUUUAUGUGGUAAAGACGGAGCCAUGCCAUGCUAAUAUGUUAAAAUGAAUGGGGGUUAAACAAUCUUUAAAGAUCAUAUAUUUUGAAAAUUGAUGAUUAUGUUACCUAUGUUCAUGGAUAUUACUAUGUUGUUGUUUGUUAAUUCAUCAUUUCUCAAUGACAAUAUGUGCAAGAGAUUACAUGUUGGGUAGCAUGUCACAUCAAAAUUUAUGUUUUUAUCAUUUACCUACUCGAGGAUGAGCAUGAAUUAAGUUUGGGUUUAUGUUAAUACUACUCAUGAGAUUAUAUUGAGUUCCUUGCUGGUCUAUGCAUAUAUAUGCAUGAUUAUGAUAGCUUCAUAAUUCUUUCUGAUCUAUUGAUUUGGUUUGGCGGAUUGAUUUAUCUUCAGCGGGAGAGGUGCGUUGUAGUGGGUUAAGUCUUGCGGUGAUCAAUCCCACUGAUAGAAAGGGACAUGACACACAUUGUAUUACUGCCACUAAGGGUAAAACAAUGGAGUUGAUUCAUGUUAAUUGGAUUUGCUUUGUCUACAUCAUGUCAUUGUUCUCCAAGCAUUACUUUUUCCACUUAAUACUCUAGAUGCAUGUUGGAUAGCGGUCGAUGGGUGGAGUAAUAGUAGUAGAUGGCAGCAGUCGGUCUACUUGCUUACGUACAUGACGCCUACAUGUAAUGGUCAUUGCCAUGAAUAAAUAUUUCAUAAUUAACUACUUUUCUAUCAAUUGCCCAACAGUAAUUCGUAUACCCACCGUAUACUUUCUACGUGAGAGAAGUCUCUAGCGGAAACUUUGGCCCCCAGGUCUAUUCACAUAUGUAAAUACAAAAAAUACAAAAUCACUUGUUAUUCUUAUUUUCUUUCUAUUUAUUUUUCAUUUAUAUUUAUCAAACUAUCCAACCAUGCUACUUAUUACUUGCAAGUAACGAGUUCAAGGGGAUUGACAACCCUCCUACCAGUGUUGGGUGCAAGUGUGUGUGCUCUUUUGAGUGCGGGUGCUGAAGACGGGAAAUUUCAUGGUCCUCCUAUUGGUUCGAUAACCUUGGUUCUCGCUGAGGGAAAAGCCUACGUCUUGAUUUGUGUGUAUUGAUGAUGAUGAUCUCAAUUACAAGGGUGCGGAAUCGCUACCUCUAGUCUCGAGGGUUUCUAAUAUGUCUAUCUCUAAUGGUUUGUCUUGUCCAGACUUAAAUUGUUCCCCUUGGGGUGCCUUGCCACUCCCUGUAUAAGUUGAAGGGGUAGGCUUACAUAGAGUCCUACUAGGACUAGGAUUAGUCUCUCUUGAAUCCUAAUCCGGGUCUUGCUUCUCUUGUGAGGGAAUGUUUCCUCUUCCUAGGCCUUCUCUAUGAGCCAACCCUCCAGGCCUCUCCAAGAGUUGCCUUUCACCGGCUUGCACACUGGGCCUUAGUCCUUGUCGUCUAGGUCGACCCAGCGAGCAAGGUGACGUAUGAGCCACCAACCUCCUGGCUGGUUCAAAUCGUGGGGUAUAUCCUCAAGAGAGGGUCUCUACAUCAUCCCCGCUUCUCCAAUGGUGAUGUGUGAGUAAUUGACCACAAACCUGUUGGAAACAUGCCCUAGAGACAAUAAUAAAUUGCUUAUUAUUAUAUUUCCUUGUUCAUAAUAAUCGUUUAUUAUCCAUGCUAGAAUUAUAUUGAUUGGAAACUCAAAUACAUGUGUUCAUGCAUAGACAACAUACUGUCCCUAGUGAGCCUCUAGUCGACUAGCUCAUUGAUCAAAGAUGGUCAAGGUUUCAUGGCCAUAAACAAGUGUUGUCACUUGAUAACGAGAUCAAAUCAUUAGGAUAAUGAUGUGAUGGACAAGACCCACACUAUGAACGUACCAUAUGAUCGUGUCAGUUUAUUGCUAAUGUUUUCUGCAUGUCAAUGUAUCUGUUCCUAUGACCAUGAGAUCAUGCAACUCCCGGACACCGGAGGAAUACCUUGUGUGUAUCAAACGUCGCAACGUAACUGGGUGACUAUAAAGGUGAUCUACAGGUAUCUCCGAAGGUGUCUGUUGGGUUAGCGUGGAUCAAGACUGGGAUUUGACACUUCGUGUGACGGAGAGGUAUCUUGGGGCCCACUUGGUCAUACAACAUCACAAUGAGCCUCGAACGAAAUGUGACUAAGGAGUUAGUCAUGGGUUCUUGUAUUGCAUAACAAGUAAAGAGACUUGCGAGUAACGAGAUUGGACUAGUUAUAGAGACACCGACAAUCGAAUCUCGGGCAAGUAACAUAUCGAUGGACAAAGGGAACAACGUACGUGAUUAACUGAAUCCUUGACAUAGAGGUUCAACCGAUAAAGAUCUUCAUAGAAUAUGUAGGAGCCAAUAUGAGAAUCCACGUCCAGCUAUUGGUUAUGGACCGAAGAAUGUCUCAGGUCAUUUCUACAUAGGUCUCGAAACCGCAGGGCGUGCACCCUUAAGGUUAGGUGACAUUUCAGUAUUAUUGAAUUAUGUGUGUUGGUAACCGAAAGUUGUUCGGAGUCACAGAUGAGAUCCUGGACGUCAUGAGGAGCUCCGGAAUGGUCCGAAGGUAAAUAUUUAUAUAUAGGAAAGUUGCAUUUGGCUUCCGAAAAGUUUUCGGGCAUUACCGGUAAAGUACCGGGAGUGACAAAUGGGUUCCGGGGUUUUUACCGGGAGGGGCCACCCACCCAGGAAAGAACUUAAUAGGCCUAAAGGUGGUGCACCCGCCCUUAGUGGGCUGGUGCGUCCAGCCUAAGAGGGCCUAUUUUGGCCAAGGAACAAAAGAAGGGGAAAACCCCAAAGGAGAGGAGGUUUCUGUGACAGCCCGAUGCCGACGUUCCAGAAGAUUCCCCUUUUCUUUCCGUUUUCGUCGUGUGUCUAUUUUCUUUUGUCGCAUCAUUAUCGCAUCAUGCACAUCAUCUGCAUUGCAUCGGCACCCCGUUGCCGCCAGUUUUCAAAACAUGUGUCCGUUGUUAGUUGCCGGUUCUCGUCGUUGUCCGUUCUGAGCCCGACCGCACACGCACGCGCCCGCGGCACCGUCGAAACCCUGUUUUUAAAGUGUGCAUAAAACUUUCUCUGAUCGGGGUGAGAUUUGACGUGAGGUAUUAUUUUAAUAUAGGUAGGCCACCUGUCAAAUUUCGUCGCGAUCGGGGUUAGUGUGGUACCCGAACGGUCGACCGUAGCGGCACCGUAUUCAGUCUAUCGUCGCACGUGUCCCGGUGUUUUAAAUCGCGUUGCCGCGCCGCCCGUUUUCCAUGUCGUCUCUGGAUAACUACUCUACACAAGCCACCGAACCUAACCCGAAGAUCAGAGCCGUCCGAUUGUGAUUGAACGGCUCGGAGCAGGCUAAAAAUAGCUAACCUACCCUAUUGCCUAUAAAUACCCCACUCCUAGCCUAUUUUGGACAAACCCUAAAAUCUAGGGAUCUGUCCCGUUGAGGCCGCCGCCACUUCAAGGAAUCCCUCGGGAUCCAUCUCAGGCAAACCUCCACCUCUCCCUUGAUCUGAUCCAGCCAACCCCCAAAGCCAGCCCGUUGACCAUCUAUGCCUAUCGGAUCUAGAGAUCCAAUGGAUACCAGCAGCUGCGGGACGGAACGCCUCGUCCCCGCAUCCCGUGCCUCGAUCCAGAGAGGAUCUAGAGCAACGCCAGGACGCCGCCGCGCGUAGUGCACCAACGUCAACCAGUUUCGGAGCCGGCCGCCGGACGCAAGCCAGAGAUCGCCUCCCUUGCCCUCUCUCCCUGUUCCCCCAUAUUUUUUUCUCAUCUCUCCGUGUGCUCGUUUCUUCUACAAGGAGCAGAACGGGAGACCGCCGACCGUGCCCCUGUCUGUCUUUUGCGAGAGAAGCACCGAGCCAGCACCGGCCCCUGCAUCUCUCUCUUCUCUGCAUCUUCAGGUGCAGCCAACGGAGGCCAUGGAGCUCGAGCCGCCCUUGCCCGGAUCCGCGUCAUCCCCAAGCCCCGCGACUCCUCCACCUGCACGAGAUCAUGUCGAUGAUGUCUUCGUUCCAUUCCCGGCCUCCCAGCUCGCCGUCUUCGCCGGAGCAUCGCGCCGCCGGCCCCUAGUUCCCCGUGGAGAGCAGCCAAAGUCACCCCUAUACGUGCUAGUUUCAGCAAGGUACACAGACAUACCCUGUUUCAGAUGCAGUUUUGUUCAGGUUUACAUUCAGCAUGGUUGUGUGCUCAUCUACAGAAGGAACCCACUUUUAACACGAACCCAUUUGUAGCUCAGUUGGUCACAAUGUUGCACCUACACCCAGUAGACUAGGGAUCGAAUCCCAGUGGCUCCAAUAUAGUUUUUUAGCGUUUUGCGUUGUCAUUCACCAGCUAUGCAUAUUAGGUAUAACCAGGCGAAUGCAUUAUGUAGCACAAGGACAUAUCUAGCCCACUGGUGACACAUGCUAGGACACCGAAGGAGGUCUUGGGUUCGAAACCUGGACUGCCCCUAUUAUUUUUGCUUUUGUGCCAUGUUUGAUUUUCGUUUUGCACACCCAAGCAAGUGGGCACAGAGCUCCCAGUGGCUGCAGCCCAGUGCACAGAUUCGGCCCAUACGUUUUUUUAUUUUAUUUUAACCUGCAAUUUUAUUUAUUUUUAGAAAAACGCAUUGAUUUUCAAAAGAGCGUAGUUUCUAAACCGUGCGACGGAUCAGAAUGGGUUAUAUAUGUAGAACGUGUAGAAUUUUAUGUAGAUUAAUAUUUUUCAACUUUCAUGCAUAAUUAGAACUGUUUAGUGUGAUGUUUACCUCGUUUUGCAUGUCGACAUGUUGAAACGGUUUAGGUCGUAACUAUUUGUCCGUAGCUCCGUUCGAGAUGUGCCAUAUAUGUAAAUGGAGCAGAACGACGAGUAGAAUCACGUGAAUCACUUUGUUUUGCCGUUUAACAAACCUAAAAUGUUAUUAUGACAAGUCUGGACAGAAUUAAGAUUUAACAUGUGGGGUCAUUUCAGAGAUGCUAUAUGUCGUUUCCGGUCUCAUUUAAAAUGUCUAGCUAGGUAGAUUAAUUUGUGCUUCACCCUCGUGCCAUGUUUAAUAACAUUUAAUAUAGUCAUGUACCUGAACGGGAGCGAACUAAAUAAUUAGAGUGGAGUUUCGUCGAUAUGCAACUCGUUGCAUACCGAGCUUCACUUAAUGUGUAGUGUUUGGUUGUUGUGUUUGUCAUGCCUUGCAUUAGACCGUUCAUGCUUCAUAUGGGUUGUGCAUUGUGUGGUGUAUAUCGUGUGUUGAUGCUUGUUUCCGUUUCCCUCCGUCUCGUUAGAGUUCCGCAAGCGUGUCGGAUGUGAGGACCGUUCGACUGCAUCGGUUCGUCUGCUUCACGGAGUCAUUCUUCUUCCAAGCGGGAUCUCAGGCAAGAUGACCAUUUCCCCAGAUACCAUUACUAUCAUUGCCAUGCUAGUUAUACCGCUUCUUCGAUUAUGUCUCAUUGCCUACCACAUGUUAAAUAUCAGCCUCUCAACAAUGCCAUGAAACCUUCAACCUGUUCGACCUAGCAAACCACUGAUUGGAUAUGUUACCGCUUGCUUAACCCUGGGUUAGCGUUGCUAGUUGCAGGUGCAGUUGCUUCCAUGUGAUAACAUGGGUCCCUUGUUAUAUCACCCUAUUAAAUGCUAUCUAUUUUAAUGCACCUAUAUACUUGGUAAAAGGUGGAAGGCUCGGCCUUNNNNNNNNNNNNNNNNNNNNNNNNNNNNNNNNNNNNNNNNNNNNNNNNNNNNNNNNNNNNNNNNNNNNNNNNNNNNNNNNNNNNNNNNNNNNNNNNNNNNNNNNNNNNNNNNNNNNNNNNNNNNNNNNNNNNNNNNNNNNNNNNNNNNNNNNNNNNNNNNNNNCAUAAUUGAGCGCUCCUAACACGAUCCGGGUUGUUAUGGGGACCCCCUUGAUAAUUCGUUUUAGAUUAAAGCUGGUCUGGCAAGGCCCAACUUUGGUUUUACAUUUGCCCAACAUAAUAAUUCUGAUAAUACUGAAAUGCAUAGGGAGUUAGCGCUACCCGAGGAGUAAUUUUACAUAAACAGGAGGGGCCAGUGUUGAUGGUGUUGGUCCCAAACGGUCUGCCUGCGGGGCCACCGCGAGGAAACUAGAGGUUUGGCACUCGUAGCUAGUUCCAUCUGUCGUGUCCUGAGAACGAGAUACGCGGCUCCUAUCGGGUACGUCGACACGUCGGGCGGCCUUGCUGGAUUAGUUUUACCUUUGACAAGAUAUAUUCUGCCUCCUCCACUCCCUCCCUCCUAUACAUACUAGAGGGCAAAUAGGCUUUUUGCACCUCAAGCCAAAGCGCAACCCUCUCUCCCUCUAGAUCAUUUGCUCCUCUUGAUUAGUUCCGCAGAAGCUUGGCGAAGCCCUACUGGAUUAGUUCACCACCACCACCACCACCACGCCGCCAAGCUGGAGAACUCAUCUACCUCUCCGCCCCUCUUUUUGGAUCAAGAAGGCGGUGAUCGUCAUCAAGCCGCAUGUGUGCUGGACGUGGAGGUGUCGUAUAUUCGGCACUAGACCGGGACGGUUUGUGAUGAGAUCGCGGGAAGGACUGUGAUUUGGAUCACGAAGAUGUUCGACUAUAUCAACCGCGUUAUAUACGCUUCCGCUUAGUGAUCUACAAGGGUAUGUGGAUCCAAUCUCUCCUCUCGUAGAUGGUCAUCGCCAUGGAUAGAUCUUAUGUGCGCGUAUGAAUUUUUUUGUUUCCCAUGCGACGUUCCCCAAGAGUGUCAUCUUGAGCUAGGUAUAUGCGUAGAUAAUAUCUCGAGUAGAACACCAAAGAGUUUGUGGGCAUUGUUGUUCAAUUUGCUGCCCUCCUUAGUAUUUUCUUGAUGCAACGGUAUUGUUGGAUUGAAGCGGCCCGGACCAACCUUACUUGUACGCUUACGAGAGACCAGUUUCAUCGACUAACAUGCAACUUGUUGCAUAAAGAUGACUAGCGAGUGUUUGUUUCUUCAACUUUAGUUGAAUCGGAUUUAACCAAAGCGGUCCUUGGAGAAGGUUAAAUAGAAACUUGCAUAUCACCAUUGUGGUUUUGCGUAAGUAAGAUGCGAUCAUACUAGAUGCCCAUAACAGCCAUGUAAAACUUGCAAUAACAAAUUAGAGGACGUCUAACUUGUUUUUUGCAGGGUAUGUUGUGAUGUGAUGUGGCCAUAGACAUGAUAUGAUAUAUUGGAUGUAUGAGAUGAUCAUGUUGUAAUAGUUAAAUAUCGACUUGCACGUCGAUACUACGACAACCGGCAGGAGCCAUAGGGUUGUCUUUAAUUAUUUUGCGCUUGGUGAUGCUUUGCUUUAUCGCUAGUGGUAGCUUUAGUAGUAACAUCAUAGUUAGUGCGACAACGUCGAUGGCAACACAAUGAUGGAGAUCAUGGUGUGGCGCCUGUGAUGAUGGAGAUCAUGUUGGUGCUUUGGUGAUGGAGAUCAAGAAGCACAAGUUCGUGGCCAUAUCAUGACACUUAUGAUUUGCAUGUGAUGUUAAUCCUUUUAUGCACCUUGUUUUGCUUAGCACGAUGGUAGCAUUAUAAGGUGAUCCCUCACUAAAAUUUCAAGAUAAAAUUGUGUUAUCCCUCACUGUGCACCGUUGCAACAGUUCGUAGUUUCGAGACAUCACGUGAUGAUCGGGUGUGAUAGACUCUACGUUCACAUACAACGGGUGAAAAACAGUUGCACACGUGGAACACUCAGGGUAAACUUGAAGAGCCUAGCAUGUACAUACAUGGCCUAGGAAUACAAGAGAUCGAAAGGUCGAACAUGAGUCAUAUAGUGGAUAUGAUCAACGUGGAGAUGUUCACUAUUGAAGCUAAACUCAACUCACGUGAUGAUCGGACUUGAGUUAGUGAAUUUGGAUCAUGUACCACUCGAAUAACCAUAGGGAUGUCAAUUUGGGUGGGAGUUCUUAAGUAAUAUGAUUAUUUGAACUCAUUAUCAUGAACAUAGUCAAAAGGUCUUUGCAGAUUAUGUUGUAGCUUGCAUUGUAGCUCUACUAUUUUUGAUAUGUCCUAUAGAAUAUUUAGUUGAAAGAUGACAGUAGAAAUUAUGCGGACUAGGUUCGUAAACUAAGGAUUGUCCUCAUUGCUGCACAUAAGGCUUAUGUCCUUAAUGCACCGCUCGAUGUGGUGUACCCCGAGCAUCGUCUGUGGAUGUUGCGAACAUCUGACAUACACGUGUUUGAUGACUACGUGAUAGUUCAGUGAGUAAUGCUUAACGGCUUAGAAAUGAGGCGCCGAAGACAUUUUGAACGUCACAGAACAUAUGAGAUGUUCCAAGAGAUGAAAUUGGGAUUUCAGGCUCGUGCCCGUGUUGAGAGGUAUAAGGCCUCCGACAAGAUUCUUUGUCUACAAAGUAAGGGAGAAAAGCUCAAUCGUUGAGCAUGUGCUCAGAUUGUCUCGGUAUUACAAUCGCUUGAAUCAAGUGGGAGUUGAUCUUCCAGAUAAGAUAGUGAUUGGCAUAGUUCUCCAAAGUCACUGCCACCAAGCUACAGAGCUUUGUGAUGAACUAUAAAAUAUGAUGGAUAGAUAUGAUGAUCCUUGAGUUAUUCGCGAUGUUUGACACCGCGAAAGUAGAAAUCAAGUGGGAGCAUCAAUUUUUGAUGGCUAGUAAAACCACUAGUUUCCAGAAGGGCAAGGGCAAGAAGGGAUACUUCAUGACUGGCAAACCUGUUGCCACUCUAGUGAAGAAACCCAAGGUUGAACUCGAACCCGAGACUAAGUGUUUAUGAUAUGAAGGGAACAAUUACUAAAGCAGCACCACCCUUGAUACUUGGUAGAUGAGAAGGCUGGCAAAGUCGCCGAAAGUAUAUUGGAUAUACAUGAUAUUGAUGUGUACCUUACUAGUACUCCUAGUAGCAUCGGGGUAUAAGAUACCGGUUCAGUUGCUAAGUGUUAGUAACUCAAAAUAAAAUCUAUGGAAUAAAUGGAGACUAGCUAAAGGUGAGGUGAUGAUGUGUGUUGGAAGUGUUUUCAAAGUUGAUGUGAUCACCAUCGCACGCUCCCUCUACUUUCGAGAUUAGUGUUGAACCUAAAUGUUGUUUGUUGUUUGCGUUGAGCAUGAGCAUGAUUGGAUUGUAUUUAUUGCAAUACAAUUAUUCAUUUAAAGAGAAUAAUAGUUAUUUUGUUUACUUGAAUAAUACCUUCAACAGUCAUGCACCUAAUAUGAAUGGUUUAUUGAAUCUUGAUCGUAGUAUUACACAUGUUCAUAAUAUUUGAUGCCAACAUAUACAAAGUAGUAAUGAUCAUAUCACUUACUUGUGGCAUUGCUGCUUGAGUCAUAUUGGUAUAAAAUGCAUGAAGAAGCUCCAUACCGAUGGAUCUAUGGACUCGCUCAUUUUUGAAAUGUUACAGACAUGCGAACCAUGUCUAUUGGUCUAAACGCAUAAAAGAAACUCCAUGCAGAUGGAUCAUUUGGACUCACUUAAUUUUGAAUCACUUGAGACAUGCAAAUCAUUCCACAUGGGCAAGAUGACUGAAGGCCUCGUUUUCCAGUGAGAUGGAACAAGAAAGUAAAUUAUUGGAAGUAAUACAUUUUGAUGUAUGCAGUCCAAUGAGUGUUGAGGCACGCAGUGGAUAUCAUUAUAUUCUUACUUCACUCAUGAUUUGAGUAGAUGCAAGAGUAUUUGCUUGAUGAAUCACAAGUCUGAAAUAUUGAAAAGUUCAAGCUAUUUUAGAGUGAAGAUCGUCGUGACAAGAGGAUAAUAUGUUUACGAUGUGAUCGUGGAGGUAAAAUCUGAGUUGCGAGUUUGGUAGACAUUGAAAACAACGUGAAAAUUGUUUCACAAUUCAUGCCACGUGGAACACCAUAGUGUGAUGGUGUGUGUGAACACCAUAGUUGCGCCCUAUUGGAUGUGGUGCAUACUAUGAUGUCUCUUAUCGUAUUACCACUAUUGUUUUUGGGCUAGGCAUUAGAGACGACCGCAUUCACUUUAAAUAGGGUACCACAUAAGUCCGUUGAGAUGACACCGUAUGAACUAUGGUUCGGAGAAACCUAAGCUGACGUUUCUUAAAAGUUUGGGGCUAUGACGCUUAUGUGAAAAAGUUUCAGCGUGAUAAGCUCGAACCCAAAGCGGAUAAAUGCAUCUUCAUAGGACACACAAAACAGUUGGGUAUACCUCCUAUCUCAGAUCCAGAAGAAAAGUGUUUGUUUCUAGAAACGGGUCCUUUCUCGAAAAAAGUUUCUCUCGAAAGAAUUGAGUGGGAGGAUGGUGGAACUUGAUGAGGUUUUGAACCAUCACUUCAACCAUAGAGUAGAAGGCCGCAGGAAACUAUUCUUAUGGCGCCUACACUAGUUGAAGUGGAAGCUAGUGAUGGUGAUCAUUAAGCUUCAGAUCAAGUUACUUCGAAACCUCGUAGGUCGAAAGGGACACACACUACUCCAGAGUGGUACGGUAACUCUGUCUUAAAGGUCAUGUUGUUAGACAACAAUGAACCUACGAGCUAUGGAGAAGCGAUGGUGGGCCUGGAUUCCGACAAAUGGUCGAAGGUCAUGAAAUCCGAGAGAGGAUCCAUGUGUGAAAACAAAGUGUAGACUUUGGAAGAACUACUUGAUGGUCGUAAGGCUGUUGGGUACAUAUGGACUUUUAAAAGGAAGACGGACAAAUGGUUGGAGGCCAUGAAAUCUGAGAGAGGAUCCAUGUAUGAAAACAAAGUGUGGACUUUGGAAGAACUACUUGAUGGUCGUAAGACUGUUAAGUACAGAUGGAUCUUUAAAAGGAAGACAAACGAUGAUGGUGAAAAGUCACCAUUAAGAAAGCUCAACUUGUCGCAAAGAUGUUUCCGACAAGUUCAAAGAGUUGACUAUGAUGAGACUUUCUCACUCGCAGCGAUGCUAAAAGUUUUGUUGGAAUUAUGUUAGAAGUUGCUGCAUUAUUUAUGAAAUCUUGCAAAUAGGAUGUCAAAACAUUGUUUCCUCGAUGGUUUCCUUGAGGAAAGGUUGUAUGUGAUACAACCAGAAGGUUUUGUCGAUCCUAAGGAUGAUAACCAGUAUGCAAGCUCCAGCAAUCCUUCUAAGGACUGGAGUAAGCAUCUCAGAGUUGGAAUAUGCGCUUUGAUGAGAUGAUCAAAGCUUUUGGGUUUAUACAAAGUUUAUGAGAAACUUGUAUUUCCAAUAAAGUGAGUGGGAGCACUAUAGAAUUUCUGAUAAGUAUAUGUGAUCAGAAAUAAUGUACAAUUUCUGGAAAGCAUAAAGGGUUGUUUGAAAGGAGUUUUUCAAAGGAAAACCUCGAUUGAGCUACUUGAACAUUGAGCUUAAUAGAACUUUCAAAUGAAUAUAUACUGUAACAAGAUUUUGAAGGAGUUCAAAAUAGAUCAGUCAAAGAAAGAGUUCUUGGUUGUGUUAUAAGGCGUGAGUAUUGAGUAAGACUCAAAAUCCGACCACGGUGGAAGAAAGAGAAAGGACGAAAGUCGUCCCCUAUGCACUAGCCGUAGGCUCUAUAGUAUGAUAUGUUGUGUACCGCACCUGAUGUGUGCCUUGGAAUGAAUCUGCCAAGGGGCAAAGAAGUGAUCCAGGAAUGGAUUACUGGACAACGGCCAAAAGUUGUCCUUAGUAACUAGUGGACUAAGGAAUUUUUUCUCGGUUAUGGAGGUGAUAAAAGAGUUCGUCGUAAAGGGUUACAUCAAUGAAGCUUUGACACUAAUUCAGAUGACUCUGAGUAGUAAACCGGAUUCGUAUAGUGGAGCAGUCAUUUGGAAUAGUUCCAAAUGGCGCGUGGGAGCAACAUCUACAGGACGACAUAGAGAUUUGUAAAGCACACACGAAUCUAAAAGGUUCAGACCCGUUGACUAAAAACCUCACUCACAAGCAAGAUAUGAUCAAACCCCAUGGGUGUUAGAUUCAUUGCAAUCACAUAGUGAUGUGAACUAGACUAUUGACUCUAGUGCAAGUGGGAGACUGUUGGAAAUAUGCCCUAGAGGCAAUAAUAAAUUGGUUAUUAUUAUAUUUUCUUGUUCAUAAUAAUCGUUUAUUAUAUAUGCUAGAAUUGUAUUGAUUGGAAACCCAAAUACAUGUGUGGAUACAUAGACAACAUACUGUCCCUAGUGAUCCUCUAUUUGACUAGCUCGUUGAUCAAAGAUGGUCCAGGUUUCCUGGCCAUAGACAAGUGUUGUCACUUGAUAAUGAGAUAACAUCAUUAGGAUAAAGAUGUGAUGGACAAGACCCAAACUAUGAACGUAGCAUAUAAUCGUGUCAAUUUAUUGCUAUUGUUUUCUCGAUGUCAAUGUAUUUGUUCCUAUGACCAUGAGAUCAUGUAACUUCCAGACACCGGAGGAGUACCUUGUGUGUAUCAAAUGUCUCAACGUAACUGUGUGACUAUAAAUGUGCUCUACAGGUAUCUCCGAAGGUAUCUAUUGGGUUAGCAUGGAUCAAGACCGGGAUUUGUCACUCCGUGUGACGGAGAGGUAUCUCGGGGCCCACUCGGUAAUACAACAUCACAAUAAGCCUUGCAAGCAAUGUGACUAAGGAGUUAGUCACGGGAUCUUGUAUUAUGGAACGAGUAAAGAGACUUGCGAGUAACGAGAUUGAACUAGGUAUAGAGAUACCGACAAUCGAAUCUCGAGCAAGUAACAUACCGAAGGACAAAGGGAACAACAUACGAAAUUAACUGAAUCCUUGACAUAGAGGUUCAACCGAUAAAGAUCUUUGUAGAAUAUGUAGGAGCCAAUAUGGGCAUCCAGGUCCCGUUGUUGGCUAUUGACCAGAGAAUGUCUCAGUCAUGUUUACAUAGUUCUUGAACCCGUAGGGUCUGCACACUUAAGGUUCAUUGACGUUUCGGUAUUAUUGAGUUGUGUGUGUUGGUAAAAAAAAGUUGUUCGGAGUCCUGGAUGAGAUCCUGGACAUCACGAGGAGCUCCGUAAUGGUCCGGAGGUAAAUAUUGAUAUAUAGGAAAGUUGCAUUUGGCUUCUGGAAAGUUUUCGGGCAUUACCGGUAAAGUACCGGGAGUGACGAAUGGGUCCCGGGGUUUUACCGGGAGGUGCCACCCACCCGAGAGAGAACAUAAUAGGCCUGAAGAUGGUGCACCAUCCCUUAGUGGGCUAGUGUGGCCAGCCCAAGAGGGCCUAUUUCGUCCAAGGAGCAAAAGAAGGGGAAAAUCCCCAAAGGAGAGGAGGUUUCCAAGUAGGAGGAGUCCUACUUGGAGUAGGAUUGGAGGUGGACUCUUCCACCUCCACGUAUUCGGCCGAGCCAAGUAUUUGCUUUUUGGCUGCCUCCUCCCCUCCCUCCCUCCUAUAUAUACUAGAGGGUAGAGAGGCUUUUUGCACCUCAAGCCAAGGCGCAACCCUCUCUCCCUCUAGAUCGUUUACUCCUCUUGGUUAGUUCCGCAAAAGCUUGGCGAAGCCCUACUGGAUUAGUUCACCACCACCACCACCACACCGCCAUGUUGGAGAACUCAUCUACCUCUCCGCUCCUCUUGCUGGAUCGAGAAGGCGGUGAUCGUCAUCAAGUCGUACAUGUGCUGAACAUGGAGCUGUCGUUCGUUCAGCACUCGAUCGGGAUGAUUCGUGAUGAGAUCGCGAGACGGACUGCGAUUUGGAUCGCGAAGAUGUUCAACUACAUCAACCGCGUUAUAUACGCUUCCGCUUAGCGAUCUACAAGGGUAUGUGGUGUUGGAAAUAUGCCCUAGAGGCAAUAAUAAAUUAGUUAUUAUUAUAUUUCUUUGUUCAUGAUAAUCGUUUAUUAUCCAUGCUAUAAUUGUAUUGAUUGGAAACACAAUACUUGAAAGGAUCGAUAUGGUUGGCUAGACGGAGGGGGUGAAUAGACAACGACCACUUUUUAAUUAAUCUUAACAAGUUAAGGUAAACACUAUACGGGUUCACAAAUAAUAUGACAAAGAGGUGAACCCUAUAGAAGCUAACAACUAGAGCUAUUAAGACAAGUAAGAUAUAGUCACAAGCAUAAGCAAAUACAAAGUAAAGGUUAGAGAUAACCACAAGUGGAACCGAUGGAGACGAGGAUGUGUUACCGAAGUUCCUUCCCUUUGACAUGAAGUACUUCUCCGUUGGAGCGGUGUGGAGGCACAAUGCUCCCCAAAAAGCCACUAAGGCCACCGUAUUCUCCUCACGCCCUCGCACGAUGCAAGGUACCGUGAUUCCACUAUAGGUGCCCUUGAAGGCGGCGACCGAACCUUUACAAACAAGGUUGGGGCAACUCCACACAAAGCUUGGAGGCUCCCAACUAAACCACGAAGCUUCACCACAAUGGAAUAUGGCUUCGAGGUGACCUCAACCGUCUAGGAUGCUCAAACACCCAAGAGUAACAAGAUCCGCAAGGGAUUGGUGGGGGAAUCAACUUUUCUCUUGGUGGAAGUGUGGAUCUAGGCCUUCUCAACCAAUCCCUAAAGAAUCAACAAGUUUGAUUGGCUAGGGAGAGAGAUCGGGCACUUUAGAGCUUGUGGAGCAACAAUGGAGCUUAGAGAGGUAAGAGAUAGGGUUCCUCAGCUAGAAGAACCCUUUAUAUAGUGGGGGGGGAAUCAGACCGUUUUCCCACUCUCUGCCCGAGUACCAGCGGUACUACCGCUGUGCCGGAGCGGUACUACCGCUGGGCCUCCAGCGGUACUACCGCUGAGCCUCCAGCGGUACUACCGCCGGCCCCUUGGUAGUGCACAAGGACUACUACCUCCGGGAAAGUCUUCGCAAAAGGGUCCGUCCACAAACUACCGCUAGGUAGGUGGAACAAAACACCUGGAGCGGUACUACCGCUGACCAGGGGCGGUACUACCGCUGGCUGCAGCGGUACUACCGCUGGCAGUCCAGCGGUACUACCGCUGGGGACCAUUUUGCAGAGAUAAACGAGACGAAUAGGCGAGGGCUGCUCCAAAAGAUAAGGAAAGGGAGAAUGUGAAGUGUGCGUGUGUAAAGAUAGAUUCCACCCAAACCUUUCCACUACGGAUCCCCUCUUAAUAGUACGGGUUUCCUAUGACUCAAAUAAAGAGAAUCGUAGAGAGCGCCGUGCUUCCGUUCCUGAAGAGAGGAGACGUGUCGUCUUGUGCCGUUGACGAGUGUUACCUGAAACUUUGACACACACGGUUAGUCCUGUACGGUACUGUCAUCAAUCACCAAAAUUACUUAGGCAUAAACUAUGCCCCAACAAUACUUGUGUGGAUACAUAGACAAAACACUGUCCCUAGUAAGCCUNNNNNNNNNNAAUGUAGAAUUUAUGUAAAGCAUACAAGGUUGUUUGAAAGGAGUUUUCAAAGGAAUACCUGGAUUGAGCUACUUGAACGUUGAGCAUCAAAAGAUCUAUGGAGAUAGAUCGAAAGCGCUUAAUGGAAGUUUCAACAAGAUGCAUGCCUUGACAAGUUUUUGAAGGAGUUCAAAAUAGAUCAGCAAAGAACGAGUUCUUAGUUGUGUUGUAAGGUGUGAAUUUGAGUAAGACUCAAAACCCGACCACGGCAGAAUAAAGAGAAUAGACGAAGGUCGUCUUCUAUGCCUUAGCCGUAGACUCUAAAGUAUGCCAUGCUGAGUACCGCACCUGAUGUGUGCCUUGCAACAAGUCUGUUAAGAGCUACACAGAGUGAUCCAGGAUUGAAUCACUGAUCAGCGGUCAAAGUUAUCCUUAGUAACUAAAUAGACUAAGGAAUUUUUCUCGAUUAUGGAGGUGCUUAAAGAGUUCGUCGUAAAGGGUUACGUCGAUGCAAGCUUUGACACUAAUCCGAAUAACUAUGAGUAGUGAAACGGAUUCGUAUAGUAGAGCAGAUAUUUGGAGUAUUUCCGAAUAGCACAUAGUAGCAGCAUCUAUAAGAUGACAUAAAGAUUUGUAAAGAACACACGGAUCUGAAAGUUUCAGAACCGUUGACUAAAACCUCCCUCAAGAGCAAGACGUGAUCAGACCCCAUAACUAUAUGGGUGUUGGAUUCGUUGGAAUCACAUGGUGAUGUGAACUAGAUUAUUGACUCUAGUGCAAGUGGGAGACUGUUGGAAAUAUGCCCUAGAGGNNNNNNNNNNNNNNNNNNNNNNNNNNNNNNNNNNNNNNNNNNNNNNNNNNNNNNNNNNNNNNNNNUAUUGGAAACACAAUACUUGUGUGGAUACAUAGACAAAACACUGUCCCUAGUAAGCCUCUAGUUGACUAGCUCGUUGAUCAAAGAUGGCCAAGGUUUCCUGGCCAUAGGCAAUUGUUGUUACUUGAUAACGGGAUCACAUCAUUAGGAGAAUCAUGUGAUGGACUAGACCCAAACUAAUAGACGUAGCAUGUUGAUCGUGUCAUUUUGUUGCUACUGUUUUCUGCGUGUCAAGUAUUUGUUCCUAUGACCAUGAGAUCAUAUAACUCACUGACACCGGAGGAAUACUUUGUGUGUAUCAAACGUCGCAACGUAACUGGGUGACUAUAAAGAUGCUCUACACGUAUCUCCGAAGGUGUUAGUUGAGUUAGUAUGGAUCAAGACUGGGAUUUGUCACUCCGUGUGACGGAGAGGUAUCUCGGGGCCCACUCGGUAAUACAACAUCACACACAAGCCUUGCAAGCAAUGUGACUUAGUGUAAGUUACGAGAUCUUGUAUUACGGAAUGAGUAAAGAGACUUGCCGGUAAACGAGAUUGAAAUAGGUAUGCGGAUACUAACGAUCGAAUCUCAGGCAAGUAACAUACCGAAGGACAAAGGGAAUGACNNNNNNNNNNGUUGAAAUAGGUAUACAGAUACUGACGAUCGAAUCUCGGGCAAGUAACAUACCGAAGGACAAAGGNNNNNNNNNNGGAUCUUGUAUUAUGGAACGAGUAAAGCGACUUGCCGGUAAACGAGAUUGAAAUAGGUAUGCGGAUACUGACGAUCGAAUCUCAGGCAAGUAACAUACCGAAGGACAAAGGGAAUGACAUACGGGAUUAUAUGAAUCCUUGGCACUGAGGUUCAAACGAUAAGAUCUUCGUAGAAUAUGUNNNNNNNNNNUGAGUAAAGAGACUUGCCGGUAAAACAAGAUUGAAAUAGGUAUACGGAUACUGACGAUCGAAUCUCGGGCAAGUAACAUACCGAAGGACAAAGGGAAUGACAUACGGGAUUAUACGAAUCCUUGGCACUGAGGUUCAAACGAUAAAGAUCUUCGUAGAAUAUGUAGGAUCCAAUAUGGGCAUCCAGGUCCCGCUAUUGGAUAUUGACCGAGGAGUCUCUCGGGUCAUGUCUACAUAGUUCUCGAACCCGCAGGGUGUGCACACUUAAGGUUCAACGUUGUUUUAUGCGUAUUUGAGUUAUAUGGUUGGUUACCGAAUGUUGUUCGGAGUCCCGUAUGAGACCACGGACGUCACGAGGGUUUCCGGAAUGGUCCGGAAACGAAGNNNNNNNNNNNNNNNNNNNNNNNNCUGUUCGGAGUCCCGGAUGAGAUCACGGACGUCACGAGGGUUUCCGAAUAGUCCGGAAACAAAGAUUGAUAUAUAGGAUGACCUCAUUUGAUUACCGGAAGGUUUUCGGAGUUACCGGGAAUGUACCGGGAAUGACGAAUGGGUUCCGGGAGUUCACCGGAGGGGGGCAACCCACUCCGGGGAAGCCCAUGGGCAUUUGGGGGGGUCACACCAGCCCUUAGUGGGCUGGUGGGACAGCCCACCAAUCCCCUAUGCGCCAAGAGAGAAAAAAUCAAAGGAAAGAAAAAAAGGGAAGAAGUGGGAAGGGGGAAGGACUCCCUCCCACCAAACCAAGUAGGACUCGGUUUGGGGGGGAGAGUCCUCCCCCCUGGCUCGGCCGACCCCUUGGGGAUCCCUUGGACCCCAAGGCAAGGUCCCCCUCCCUCCUCCUAUAUAUAUGNNNNNNNNNNGCAACCCACUCCGGGGAAGCCCAUAGGCUUUUGGGGGACACACCAGCCCUUAGUGGGCUGGUGGGACAGCCCCAAGGGAGCCUAUGCGCCAAGAUAAGAAAAUCAAAGGAAAAGAAAGAAAAAAGAGGGAAGAAGUGGGAAGGGAGGGGGACUCCUCCCACCAAACCAAGUCCAACUCGGUUUGGGGGGGGAGUCCUCCCCCCCCUUGGCUCGGCCGACCCCUUGGAAGUCCCUUGGACCCCAAGGCAAGGUCCCCCUCCCUCCUCCUAUAUAUAUGGGGCUUUUAGGGCAGAUUUGAGACGACUUUCUCACGGCUGCCCGACCACAUACCUCCAUAGUUUUUCCUCUAGAUCGUGUUUCUGCGGAGCUCGGGCGGAGCCCUGGUGAGACAAGAUCAUCACCAACCUCCGGAGUGCCGUCACGCUGCCGGAGAACUCUUCUACCUCUCCGUCUCUCUUGCUGGAUCAAGAAGGCCGAGAUCAUCGUCGAGCUGUACGUNNNNNNNNNNNNNNNNNNNNNNNNNNNNNNNNNNNNNNNNNNNNNNNNNNNNNNNNNNNNNNNNNNNNNNNNNNNNNNNNNNNNNNNNNNNNNNNNNNNNCUUCGUGCGCGUAGGAAUUUUUUUGUUUCCCAUGCGACGUUCCCCAACAGUGGCAUCAUGAGCUAGGUUCAUGCGUAGAUGUCUUCUCGAGUAGAACACAAAAGGUUUUGUGGGCGGUGAUGUGCGUUUUGCUGCCCUCCUUAGUCUUUUCUUGAUUCCGCGGUAUUGUUGGAUUGAAGCGGCUUGGACCGACAUUACUCGUACGCUUACGAGAGACUGGUUUCAUCGUUACGAGUAACCGCCUUUGCUCAAAGAUGACUGGCAAGUGUCGGUUUCUCCAACUUUAGUUGAAUCGGAUUUGACCGAGGAGGUCCUUGGAUGAGGUUAAAUAGCAACUCAUAUAUCUCCGUUGUGGUGUUUGCGUAAGUAAGAUUCGGUCCUACUAGAUACCCUUGGUCACCACGUAAAACUUGCAACAACAAAAUUAGAGGACGUCUAACUUGUUUUUGCAGGGUAUGANNNNNNNNNNNNNNNNNNNNNNNNNNNNNNNNNNNNNNNNNNNNNNNNNNNNNNNNNNNNNNNNCUUGUGAUGUGAUAUGGACAGCGAUGUGAUGUGAUAUAUUGGAUGUAUGAGAUGAUCAUGUUGUAAUAGAUAAUAUCGACUUGCACGUCGAUGGUACGCAACCGGCAGGAGCCAUAGGGUUGUCUUUAUACUAACGUUUGUGCUUGNNNNNNNNNNCGUCGAUGGUACGGCAACCGGCAGGAGCCAUAGGGUUGUCUUUAUACUAACAUAUUCGUGCUUGCAGAUGCGUUUACUAUUUUGCUAGGAUGUAGCUUUAGUAGUNNNNNNNNNNUGUCGAUGGUACGACAACCGGCAGGAGCCAUAGGGUUGUCUUUAUACUAACGUUUGUGCUUGCAGAUGCGUUUACUAUUUUGCUAGGAUGUAGCUUGAGUAGUAAUAGCAUAAGUAGCACGACAACCCCGAUGGCAACACGUUGAUGGAUGAUCAUGGUGUGGCGCCGGUGACAAGAAGAUCGUGCCGGUGCUUUGGUGAUGGAGAUCAAGAAGCACGUGAUGAUGGCCAUAUCAUGUCACUUAUGAAUUGCAUGUCAUGUUAAUCCUUUUUAUGCACCUUAUUUUGCUUAGAACGACGGUAGCAUUAUGAGGUGAUCUCUCACUAAAAUUUCAAGACGAAAUUGUGUUCUCCCCGACUGUGCACCGUUGCUACAGUUCGUCGUUUCGAGACACCACGUGAUGAUCGGGUGUGAUAGACUCAACGUUCACAUACAACGGGUGCAAAACAGUUGCGCACGCGGAACACUCGGGUUAAGCUUGACGAGCCUAGCAUGUGCAGACAUGGCCUCGGAACACAUGAGACCGAAAGGUCGAGCAUGAAUCGUAUAGUUGAUAUGAUUAGCAUAGAGAUGCUUACCACUGAAACUAUUCUCGACUCACGUGAUGANNNNNNNNNNNNNNNNNNNNNNNNNNNNNNNNNNNNNNNNNNNNNNNNNNNNNNNNNNNNNNNNNNNNNNNNNNNNNNNNNNNNNNNNNNNNNNNNNNNNGGAGAGGAUCCAGCGCUACUCACAAGUUAGCAGUAGCUCCGGUGCGGAUCCAGCGCUACUGCUAGAUUUAGUUAACCGGCUAACUCGAUCACCUCUCCCCCACUCCUUCCCUCUCCGUUCGACCGGCCCUCUCUCCCUCUCGCCUGUGAUCCAGCGCGCUGCUUCUUCCCUCUCCGCCACUGACUCCCUCCAAGUGUCGUCGUGCCACCUCCACACGUCGCCGCCCCUCCAAGCGCCGCCGGGCCACCUUCAUGCGCCGUUGUUCGACCACCUCCCCUCCCGCUCCGGUAAGCCCCCCGCCCCCUCCUCCCUACCGCCUCGCUCGCCCACCCUAGCACCACACCGCACGCCUCCCCCUGUCGUGGACGCCCCCGUUGACCGUGGACGCAACAUUUUCACCUAAAGUUUGUUCAAAGGUUAUUCAAUCCAUCUAAAGUAAUAUAUGUGGAUAGGAGAUAGUAGUAGUGUUUAUCAGUAAUUUUGGUAUGAGGAUCUACCAAUGCAUCUAGGGGUUAAGAGACUUAGUGAAGAUGGGGUGGUUGCUGACCUAGGGCAUGUAAGAAUGUUUGGGGGGAAUUUUUGCAAUAUGGUUAGGCAUGAGAGGUUGUUCAUAAUAUUCUCUGUUUUACCCCAUCUUUUGUACUUGUUCAUUGUUGCUAUAUCCUAGUGGCCUAUGUUUUGUCGGAAUGUUGAUUCAUUUCCGUUCCGGAAAAUUUCAAACGCUCCAUAUAUCCACUUUUUAGUAAAUGUCAUGCCCAAAUUUUUUCUGUUUUAGGAAAUGUCUGACGACGAAGGGGAAUUCGUUAUGUGCGAAUACUGCCAAGACAAGCGCGGCCUUUGCGACACGCCUUGCCUAGUUGAUGAUAGGCGCUUCAGCAUCAUGCUGGAUGAGGACUUUGAAGUGGAUACAGUAAGUCACAACGACAAGUCCACUUGAUAGGCUUGAAAAGCAUCUUUGUAUGCGAUGGUGCUCUUCCAGAUCUCUGUAUGGCAGUUGGUCUCUUUUUUUUCCGACAUUGCUAUGGUGGUGUCGGAGGAUAUUUGUGGACUAUGUUUCGAUGAGGCACAAGUUUCUUCAAGGAUGAAAUAGUAAUUUUACUUCAUGUGGAACUCUUUGUGCAAAGUUGUUGACAAGCAUGUUUAUCUCUUAUGAUGACCAUAUGUGUAAUUUUUGUGAACAAAUUAUCUAAUGAAAUACUCCCUCCAUCCGGAAAUACUUGUUUUAAAAAUGAAUAUAAUGAAUGUAUCUAUAACUAAAAUAAGUCUAGAUACAUUUAUCUUUAGGAUAAUUAUUUCCGGACGAAGGUAGUACGAUGUUGCUUAAAAAAGACGCCCAUCGAAUUCAGAAAGAGACAAUACCAAAAGGCUAAAACUGGAAAGACGAUACCUCCUAAAAGUGCCAAAACUAGAAGGAUCAGCAAUCCCCACUCAUGUGCAAUAAACAGUCUAGAACUUCGACUCUUCUUAACGACAUAAACAAUAAUUGAGCCUGAAAGAUUGGCAUCGCCGCCCGACAAAUGAAACAAUGAACUCUCACUCACCAUGUACUCUUGCUUCAGUUGAGCGCCGUGGGAAAGCUCAAUCAGCAAAGCUAAUCAAAGCGUUUUUAGAACGUACCACCACACCUUUUGAUGGCAGCUAGGGCAUGUUGAAGCAUUUAUAUUGAUUUUUUUUCUUCAAUGCAACCUAUUACUAGUGGGCAUCAUCAAGGGGAAAAAAACUCUGAUCUACAUGCAUCUCUAUUUUUUACUUUAACUUUUCAGCUUUUUACAUCGAAUUACAUCUUUUCUUCCUAAGCACCGCCUCUUGCUGGAUCCCGCUACACCAUCCGAGACCAUACACGAUCCUACAUGGCAUGUGGGACAUCAUUUUGAGGCUAUGCAUUGGGCAUGCACUUAUGCCCUUGAUUGCAUCACACCAUACGGAGCACACAUGAAGGAUGGGAAGACUUUCGCCGACAAGCAAAGUGGACUCGGGUAACACGGUGUAUACACCGACACUGGGGGCUAAUUUUUGUGUUAUGACCCUUUUAUGAAAAAUGAUCGAGAUCUAACCUAGUUUGUAAAAAAAAUAGGUUCUGAUCAUUUUCCUAUCAUCGGGAUCCAUGACGAUAAGGUACAACGGCCUACCGCCGGGGUCCAUGACGAUAGAGUAUAGCAACCUACUGUCAAGGUUCCUCGCAGUAGGGAUGUACGCCCUACCGUAAAAAUUUCCUAAGCAUCGGAUACAAUGCGUGUUCGCACCUACAGUCGAGCACCUCGAUGAUAGGGUUGUAUAGACUACCGUCAACUUAUUUGACGAUAGAGGUGCGUCGCGCUCACUUUAAUAAGUUUUCUACGGACACCGAUGGUAGGAAAAAAAGUCAGAUCUCAAAAUUUUUACAAACCAGAGUCAGAUCUCGCUCAACUUCUGUAAAAGGGUCAAAAGGCAUGGAUUGUUUUCUCGGACAUCUGAUACGCGUGUGCUUUAAAGCAUCUAUAGUCGGACCCCUCCUAUCCAUCUCAAACGUCCGGGUAGGCUAUCCGGUUACUAGUCGUUCACAAAAAAUCAAUCUCUAAUAUGAAGACGGUAUGAGGGCUCGCAAACGCGCCCGGGCACGCCCGAUCAGUCCGCCACCUCGGACGUGACCCCAUUCCGGACCACCUUUUCUCUUUGUUUAUUUAUUAUUUCAUUAUUUAUUUCUCUCCCUUCUUCAUCAAUCACGUGCAACUGAUCGGACAGAUGAGGAAAAAUAUGAUUAUACGGAUGAAAAAAUAGAGGCUCAAAAUGAACACGCUCGGUCACUGACCGGACGCGUCCACGAAUGCUUGAGGAACCGGAUUUAGAGCAAGUAUAAUAAGAUACAGACAACAGGCUGUAAGGAUUAAAAUACUAUAUUUUUGCUGAGUUGGAUGAGAGAGAAGAGGAGAGAGAAGGGAAGCGGGCUCUUCGUGAAGAGUCAGCUCUAGCACGUGCUCCUAGGUGCUUUGUGAGAAUGAAAGGUGAGCCAUAUAUGAUAAAAGUAGUACUCCCUCCAUCACAGUUUAUAAGGCGUGCACGCGUACUUAGGUCGUCAAUUUGACUUAUAUAAAAUAUAUUGUUUAACAUAAAAAAUAUAUUAUUAGAAAAUAGAACAUCUAAAGUUUCUAAUGAUAUAUUUUUUGUAAUAUAUGUCUCUUAUUAAAUUGAUCAAAUAAACGACCUAGAUACACGUGCCGGACUUAGAGCAUCUCUAGUGGAUGGUGUAUAUUUGAACGUGUAUAUCUUCAUAUACACGUCCAUAUACACGGCGUGGAAAUUAUACACGUCCUAGUUUUUCAGUGAAACGUGUAAAUUAGGACGUGUAUAUUCCCCUCAUUCUUUCCCCCUCUGCAAGAUAAGAGAUUCAGUAGUGCACACAGGUUCAGAGAACAAGACAGGGGAGCUUCGCCGCAUUGCAGCCGUCUCCCUCGUCGCCGGCAGCCUUCCCCGUGGCAUCCAAGAUGUCCAUGGACUCGAGGGUGCCUCCCUCGUUCCAUUCCCAUCGCUAGGGUGACCGGUGGGCCACCACAGCGACGGCACCAACCUCGUCUCCGACGAGUACCCGGAGCCAAAGCCCUGCAGCAGGAGGAGGAGCCCCCGUGCUCCAGCCAGCCAUUUCGGCGCCCGACGCAGCCCCUGUCCCGGCCUUGCCUGAGGAGGAGCAGCAACUGCGGGGCGGACGGGAACCCUAGAGGCCUCGCACCUCCGAGAUCCGUCCGAACUGGGGGUGAGGACGGCGCGGCCGGGCCGCAAGCGGCGUGGGCGGGACGGGCAGGCGUCCGGGCACAGGGAGCCCUGGCCUUGCUUCUCAGGGAGGAGGAGGCGGCGGUGGGCCGGCGGGCGGCGGUGGGCCGGCGGGCGGCGGCCGGAGGAAGGGGGAGGGGAGACCGGAGGCGGCUGCGCGGCCUUGCUCCUCAGGGAGGAGGAGCCCCCUACUCCAGCGCCACCGCCAGCCCGCACCCCGCAGCGNNNNNNNNNNNNNNNNNNNNNNNNNNNNNNNNNNNNNNNNNNNNNNNNNNNNNNNNNNNNNNNNNNNNNNNNNNNNNNNNNNNNNNNNNNNNNNNNNNNNNNNNNNNNNNNNNNNNNNNNNNNNNNNNNNNCACGACGAGUAGCCUCGUGGAUGGACGUGUAUAACUUCCACGCCCGUAUACACGUUCCACUGGGAGGCAUUUUUCUGUUAGCAACGUGUAUAUUUACCAUCCACCUCCAUAUACACCAUCCACUAGAGAUGCUCUUAUAAACUGAAACGGAGGAAGUACUUUUUUAUAGCUAACUAUUGUACAAGCUAGCUAUAAGAUUGACUAUAAGAUGGCUUAUAGCCAGCAGUUGACUAUACUGUUAACCAUGCUCUUACAAGUUCCAUCCGUAGAUGCUCUAGGCAUGGCACGACGACGUAUGUCGUUGGGACAGUCUUAGAGCAUCUCUAGUGGAACGUGUAUACACCUUGCUAAAUUUUACACCUCCCAGUUUUUCAGUGGAACGUGUAUACAGGACGUGGAAAUCAGGACGUGUAUAUUCCAACGGCUAUAUUUUCAAACGGCUAUAUUUUCAACGGCUAUAUUUUCAACGGCCAUAUUUCUGGUCUAUAUAAACCGCCCCAAUCACCUCUCUUCCAGCAUUUCUAGUUGUGCCUCAUCUUCUCACUUCUAGAUUUCUCUAUCGUCUCUCACACAACACAAUGAACACAUUCUCUUGGGACAUGAGUUCUUCAUCAUCUUCAUCGGGCGACGAUGAACUCAUACUUGCGGCAUUAGCCGAUCGCGAGGAGGAAGAGAGGAUGAACACUCGACGCCAUGGCGGUUCCAUGCAUGGACGUCAGUCAAUCGAUCGAGGAAGAGAUGCCGGAUUUCUUCUUCUCUGGAACGACUAUUUCAAAGAAGUUCCUCGCUUUUCCGAACAUUUGUUUCGACGAAGGUUCGUAAUUAGUACACUUCUCUGCUUUGGUUCUUUUUUCAUUUCCCCGUCUCAUUGACUUUUUAUGCAUAGAUUUAGGAUGUCGCGUACUUUGUUCAACCGCAUAGCUGAUGGUAUACUUGAACAUGACUAUGAUGGUUAUUUUACGCAAAAAAGAAGUGCUUCUGGAGCUCUUGGGUUACAUCCUCUACAAAAGAUGACCGCGGCAAUGCGGAUCCUCACAUAUGGAAUAGCAACUGAUGGUGUUAAUGAGUACAUCGGGUCCGCUGAGGCUACUAAUUUAGAGUCUUGCAAGAAAUUUGUGAUCAAAGUUUGUGAAGUUUCUGAGGAAAAGUACAUGAGAUCUCCAAAUGAAGAAGACAUUGCUAGGUUACUUGCAAUAGGUGAGGAAAGAGGAUUACCUACAAUACUGCCAGUGAUAUGCACAAACAAUACAGAAGUGAGAACACGAAUUGUUCUCCUUGCCUACAAUAUUGCCAGUGAUUGAUUCCCCCCAUAAUUCACUUCUAUUGCAUUCUUGAAGCAGCAGCAGCGGGUUCNNNNNNNNNNNNNNNNNNNNNNNNNNNNNNNNNNNNNNNNNNNNNNNNNNNNNNNNNNNNNNNNNNNNNNNNNNNNNNNNNNNNNNNNNNNNNNNNNNNNNNNNNNNNNNNNNNNNNNNNNNNNNNNNNNNNNNNNNNNNNNNNNNNNNNNGUGCGCCCCAGACCUCUCUGGAAUGGAAAAUAGAAGGGAGGGAGAGAGCUUACCAGAGGGGAGUGGUCGCCGGCGAGCUUCGAUGGCCUUUGGACGGAGGCGGGAGCAGCUUGUUUCCCUUUCCACUAGCGUGGCCGAGCCGUGUGUAUUUGCACGAGAAGUAGCGUUGUGGAUGGACAUGUAAAACUUCCACGUCCGUAUACACGAUCCACUGGGAAGUGUUUUUCAGUUUUCAUAGUAUAUAUUUAGUUUUCAUAGUAUAUAUUUACCAUCCAUCCGUAGAUGCUCUAACAAGUUCCAUCCGUAGAUGCUCUAGGCAUGGCACAACGACGUAUGUCGUUGGGACAGCCGAACGACAGGCGUGUGGCGCAGUCAGGGGGUGGGGUGCCUAGAGAGGCCUACACGCCGCGUGAACCCCAGCUUUUCCGUUGUUGGGCGAACCCCUCCGCCCCUCACCACCGAAGGAGCCCUCCGGAAAAGGCCAACUCCGGGAGCUUUCCUUUGCCCCCCACGCCACGCGGAAAGCGAAAGAGGUUAGCUAGCUUUCCAGCUCCAAAGUUGCAAGUGCGACGCCGCCCGCCCAUGGGUGGACGGACGGGUGGCGGCCUUCAGGUUCAGGUUUAGGCGGGCGGCCACCGGCCUGGCCGGUGAGAAGGACCUGGGACGGCAUUUUUCUUUCAGCGCACAGGGGAAGAAGAAUCCCCGCGAUGCCCAUGAUGGCUCGAUUUGUCAAACGCUAGCUAUAACCUAGAAAGAAAAGAAGAAAAGGAAGAAAAGGCUAAAACAGCAUGGCGAAAAUCUGAAGAGCUAAAGUCACAGGCCACAGGUCACGGAGUAGCAACACGACGCGCACCGCAAAUCUAUCUUAAAUUCCUUAGCUUGCAGGACAGCCGAUCGCCAGCCACCGGCCAAGGCGGCCAGCGGCGCUGCCGGCACGACCACCCUGGCUCGCCGUGGAUGACGCACCGUACUACCGCCGUAGUGCUAGUGUCCGCCCGUGGCCACGCAGCCGCGACCGCGCACGAGACGAGCGCAGCGAAAUGGCAUGGACGGACCCACCAACCCUAGGACCCCGAUCCGAUGGUCGUUCUCCUUCCAUCCAUCCUUGCCCCACCGACCCCGUGGCCUACUCCACGGCUGUUCCCGAGCUGGCCUCCACCCCACCCUCGGGGUCACUGCACUGUCGCUCGGCUCCGCUUACAACAAAUCCAGUAGAAAGCAACAAAGAAUUCCUCGCCUCGAGAUGCCACAUACCACCAGUGGUCGCGUGGAGCGCCACUACAGUACCAGCGGUUUUUUAAAGGUGACCAGACCAGAUCUGCCCCUGCCCAGCCUCAGAUCCAUUCCGCUUCCGCCCGCGUGAUGCACGUACGAACGAGCACGAGCAUUCUAGUGCUAGUUGCUACUAGCACUAUACCAAUACGUACUAUAUAUGUAUACUACACCCUCCAAGAUCCGAUCUGCUGGAGCAACUUAGAGCUAGAAAUCAAGCUACGAGCUACUGUAGUUAUGGACGAAGCUGCAAGAACAGAGUGUAAUAAGCAGCGACGGAGAAAGAAUAAUAAUGAUGAUACAUAUGGUGAGAGGAAUUAACUGGGGGAUUGUACAAUGGAUAUGGAUCGAGCACCACCAGCAACGACGGCCAAACAAUCAGAUCUGUCCACGCCCAACACACGCAUAACACGGAGGAGUGUCCUACUACGAAUCCGAAUGCCGAAUGUAAUAAUCAUCAACGCAACAACAACAAAAGAAGAAGAAAAAAAAGGAAGAUAAACAGCUCCAAGAACACCACCACAAAAGGAGAGGGAGCGGGGCCCUCGGAUAAAUUAAAUACUCUUGCAGGCAGCCGAUCUGCCGCGGGGGCGGGAUCUCUCAGUAGAAGGCGGCGGCGGCGGCCACGGCGGCGGUGGCGACCCACGCGGCGGCGGGGUGGACGCCGGCGGCGGCGCUGGCGGGGGUGGUGGGCGCGUCCAUGGACGGGGCGGGGGACGGGCCCAUCAUCGACGGCUCCGGCGGCGAGCUCAUGUNNNNNNNNNNNNNNNNNNNNNNNNNNNNNNNNNNNNNNNNNNNNNNNNNNNNNNNNNNNNNNNNNNNNNNNNNNNNNNNNNNNNNNNNNNNNNNNNNNNNNNNNNNNNNNNNNNNNNNNNNNNNNNNNNNNNNNNNNNNNNNNNNNNNNNNNNNNNNNNNNNNNNGGGGGAGGCAUGACCGGGGCCACGGCCGGCGGGGGAGACACCGGCGCCGGGGUCGGCGGCGGCAUCAUCGGAGGCGGGGACACCGGGGCCACGGGGGCCGGCAUCGGGGUGGCCGCCGGGGCCUGGGCCGCGGUGGCGGCGAAGAGCAUGGUCAGGGCCAGAGCCACCAGCUGGAUGCGCGCCAUUGGAGGAGUGAAGAGGAGAGCUUGAGCUUGAGCUUGAGCUUGAGCUUUGCUUUUGCUUGAGGUGGUGCUGCUGCUGGUGUACUGUAAUGGUGUCCGAGACGGUAUUGGGCCGGGAGAUUAUAAAGGGGUCGCGGACGGGGCUACGACGACGAAUUAUAUGAAGACCCAGGGGGCUCCGUGCUAAUUUCCGAUCCUGGUAGCCGUCCGAUCGACAUCCGACGGCUCGUAUGGUUGGAAAGCUUCAACUCUUUUUUCUUCCCCAAACUUCUGACUUCUGAACAGCAAGCAAGUUUCAGAAAAACAAGCUAAAUCCCAACAGCUGGCGGAGAUCAUGUCAUUUGGUUCACGGGAAAUUCUCUCGCGAUAUAAGAGUCUGGUGAUUAUUUGCUUUCCUUUUUUUUGUCAUGGUUCACGCGUAAUUCUGGUCGACGGUGAGCUGGGUUUCCUUCCUGUUCCGUCUUGCCUAAUUUUGUCUUGGGGGUUUGAAAAUCGUGUGCAUAAUCCCACCCCUAUCUUCGGUUCAUGGACCCGAUCAAUUAGUCCAUUGCAGAUAUUUGCGGUAAAAUAUUAUGGACGAUCAAUGCAAAAUGGCAAGCAGCUAAUGAGCCAAUUGGCCCACGCGUUUGCAGUGUUCUUUACAACGAUAACAAAAUGUCAGACUUUAAAACAAUGUUAACUUCGAAAGUCAAAGUUUUUUUACAUGGGUGGCACACAUGCAUGUAAACGGACACGCACGCGUAAAUGUGAAAUAGCAAGUGGUAUUUGCUAAUGAGCCGACUGACCCACGCGUUUGCGGAGCUAGUGCAUCGAGUUUUUUCUACAAGAUAAUAAAAGGUCGGAUUUCAAAAACAAAGUUACUUCCAAAGUCAAAGUGCUUUUUCUCGCAAUUACGUUGGUGACGCACACGCAGACACGCACGCGCAAAUGUGAAAUAUCAAGUGCUUGUUAAUGAGCCGAUUGGCUCACGCGAUUGCGAUGUUUGUGCACUGAGUUUUCUUUACAAGGAUAAUGGAGGUCCAUUUCCAACAACAAGGUUGCUUCCAAGGUCAAGGUGCUUCUUUAUGCAGUUACAACACACAUGUAGACACGCACAUACACACACUCAGAACCUUGCAUAUUUUCGACAUUUUUCUCUUCUUUUUUGAGGGCAGGUUCAGCCCAUCAACAUGUGAAAGUAAGCACCCGUGACUGUGCAAUGUUUAGUUGAGGUAAAAGUGGAGAAAAUAACCAUCAAGUGAAUGGGGCGACUCAUUCCAAGAUGAUUUACCAAUUUUCGUGUGCGGUUUUUCCUGUAUGAUUGGAUGAAACUUGUGCGUGUCAAAUCAUCGAAUAUCGUCAUCUUUCUCACCGAAAGAUCAAUAACCAACAUUGUCUCAUCAAUUCGUGAUGUAUGGUGUUCCCUCGUAUGCAUCAUAUUUUUUGCUCUAUAAACAAAACUUACAAAACUAACAAGAGGUCCACAUUGUGUAUGUGUGCACACGCGCGGCGUGGGACAAUUAUAACAAAAAUGUCUUUCUAUAAAAUAGACAUAAAAUAGAGCUCCUUGUUUUGAUCAUUUGAUGAUAGCAUCAACCAGCUAAGAUUAGUUGCCUACAAAAUAAAUACCUUAGCAAUGAAAUGAUUGGUUUGGUGCUAAUCAAUGGAGCGCACGUUGUCCUCACCAAUUCUAUAUUGAGCCGUUGGUGAAUGAUGGGUUGCUGUCAGCGUUUCUCCAUCAAAAUCUUGGGUUUACAAAAGAACGAUACGAGAAAGUAAUCACACUAACACAGACGGUUAGGAAAACAAGAGAAAAUUCUACUGUCAAGUUAUCUCUUCCGUGUAUUCUUCAUGCACAUUUUUAUUUUAUUUUUGCACAUUGUUUGGCUUGCAAGUUUUAGUCUCCUGCCUAUUAUGUUAGCUGGAAGGAGAUAAAGUUCUUGGUCCCCGACGAAAAAUAGGUUCACUUGGGAGGACAAUGGUGUACAGCCUAACCAAACCCUUUUCAAAACCUAAAGCUCCACACGUUCAGGUUGCUCGAUUUGGUCCAUAAGGGUAUACCUAACGCGCCAAAUGUUUCCAAAACCUAAUGUGCCCCGUUUUUUUCCUUCACAAUAUCCAUCUUGUUCCACAAGAUAAAUCCAGAGAUUUCCAACCUAACCAUACCCUUCCAAAACCCAGCGCUCCACUCCUCCAACGUUCAUAUUCUUUGGACAAGAGAUACACACGAAUACACUUGUCUGGUUCCUAACCACCAUGUGGAAGAGUGUGAUUAUGCUAGUUGAUAGGCAGCUCUGAAUCAGACCGACAAUAGGAAGCCCCUAUCUGGAAGCAAGAGUUCAAAUGCAAGUAUGGACUAAUCGCAACGGCGAACGGUCCCUGCAAACUUUGGAGACCAAGUUAAUUCACGAUUUUCAGAGUAACUUUGUCGAAACUCAUGUUUCGUUCCUUAUUAAACUGGGGUCAAUAUCUAAUUAUAAGAGCAUGUUCGCUAGUUGAAUCAUUGUGCCUCCAUUUUAAGGCUUAAUUUGUGAUUGCUGAACUGUGUUGUGUUAUGAUGAUUUCAUAAUUACUAGUCCCUCCGUUUUUAAAUAUAAGUCUUUUUAGAAUUUUUAUUAGAGACUACAUACGGAUGUAUAUAGACAUACUUUAGAGUAUAGAUUAACUCAGUUUGCUUUGUAUGUAGUCACUUAGUGAAACCUCUAAAAUACUUAUAUUUAGAAAGGGGGGAGUAUGUAAAAUUAGCCACAAAAGUAGACAAAAGCGGUUUAAACGCACGCUCAGAUAGGCAAAAACAUAUUAGGCAACACAAGGUUAUCACAAACCACCACAAUACCAAACUCGGCCUAAGUAAAGCUGACUUUUUCCUAGACAAGAAAAAUGCAACGUGUGUAUGACAAUGAUGUUAGAACAAGCCAACAAAGGCAAGAACAUGAGUUUUCAUCUGGAGAUCGCCUCCAGAAAUUGAAGAUAAUACCACAAGGAGAUGACGUGAGAGCAAUGUCGACAUGUCGUUCCCACGUCUAACCAAUGAAGACUAUACCAACCAAUGGAGGCCAACUCAUUCAAUUACUAUACCACGUCUUGGCGCUCAAAAUCGAACAUCACUUGAUCCAACCAAUGGAGGCUAACUCAUUCACGACGAUUGCGACAAUGUCCGUUCAAGAUUUGGCAUGGCCCAAUGACAAGAAACCUCAUGCUAGCGUACUGGUAUCGCUCCACCAUGGAGCUUACUAGAACCGCCAAAACGCUUUGAAGGGGUCGCCCCUCCGCCCUCAUGUCGACGAUGCCCCUGCAGCCACCCCGGCUUCCAUGUCAUAAUCCACAACAUGUCAUCCUCUAACGGGCAGCCAUCACGACCGGAUAUCGACAAGAGCCCCUAACACCACUAUCGGUCGCAAGACCUUUGGUCAUGGCAUCCUCUGGCGGUGGAGGAGGGGGUUGAAGGAAGGCAUGGUAGAGAUGCUAACUUCCUUAACUACACUUUGUAUACAAUAAAGUAGAGAAAUCUCCCAAUCAAUCUUUGCGUCUAAAAAUGCACACAGCCAACGAACAUUAUUGACCUUCCGAAGGACGAUAUAAAGCCGUAUUCCCAUCGUUCUGGGCCGCCGUGAGUUGCCAACAAACAUCCUGAUCCUGCCCGAAAUGCUAUCCACCGAAUGACAUCUGAGCCGAUCCGAUUUAACAAACAGCAAGCUUGCCAAAAACAAGUCCGUUGGUCCGAUCAGAGCCUCGUCGGGUCCAUGGAAACGGGGCUGUGGCCAGGGUGGAAGAUUCCGGCCGGUCGGCCAGCCGCGGUGUAGUACAGAGCUACGUGACGCCGACGUACCAACUAAGCCAAGACAACCACCAUCUUCCGAGUGAAAUCAAAUGAGAUCGACUACGUGACGGCCGCGAACUCUGCUGGGCAGUGUGAUACAGUUCGUCGAGGUGUCGCCUCCCAUGGCCCUGUUGCACGCCCACGAAGCAUGUAGCAGUGCUGUACAGUUGUAUAAUAACCGGAGAUGCCGCGUGGGCCAAGGGGGUUAUGGUAGAGGAUGUCAUAGAGGAGCUGUGGACAGCCAGGGCUAGGCAUUUUGCUUGGCGACUCAUCAGAGUGUUUACGAAGGCAUUGACUCGUGGCAAAUGGAUGGCAAAUCUCAUGCUGCGUCAGGUAAAAAGUGGGCAUAGUUUUCUUGCCGAUUCCUGUAUGGUUUUCCAUGUUCGUUAUGGAGAAUUAUGUUCAGCGGUCGGUUGGAAGAAGGCCUUCACAUAUUCGGAAGAAAGUGGGUGUGAAAACCAGCUUGACAUAAUCAUAGACUGAAUGGGUCGUCGACAAAAUGAUUGGGAAUUUUUUUCCCAAACAAUUUCAAAAUUCCACUGUCCAUAGGUUAAUCAAAUCAGGAGGUGGUUGGUACUACUAGUACUAGCGAAGCAGCCGCUAUCACAUAAAACAAUGGCACGAGCCGAAUCAGAAAGACAGCCGCUGCUUGCAAAGCAUUGCCCCCACAACCAUAAGAUCAGGGGCCCCUAAAUAACCGGACAGCUAAGUUCGUCGAUGAUUCGCUCGUCUAAAAGGAGCUCAUCUAGCUCCGUUUCGUUGUAUUUCCUCGUGUCUGGAGCCUAAUGGGAGGUUAGUUAGGCGGUCGCCAAUGAUUGAGGAUUACCUGGCUGUGAUGGGAGGAGCUGGCUGGCCACAUUGGUGGCCUUCAGGUGAGAUGGACAUGGGAACUCCAUCACAUGCCCAUCUCAAGCACCAGCCCGGCGAUCCCUGUUGGGGAAGCUGUAGCAUUUCUCAUGCUGCACAUGUAGAAAUCUUCUGCGUGCCAACCGCUGUCGCCGUCGGCCCAGUGCGCGAUGAGCAUGGCACCGCCACUGCGUGGUCGCGAUCGCUACAGGCGGCUACAGGCAAUAACUCGGGGCAGUAUGUUAGUUCAGGGAAUUGAUGAUAUGGAAAUAACAGAACUUACCAUUAACUUAUACUCUACUAGCAUAGAUCAUGCCAGGCCACAUGACUCCAUGCUUAAAAUGUUACAAUGGGACCUUUCGCGGCAAACAGCAAAUGCACCCCUUGUAUGUUUAUUCUAGAAUGUUAUAAUGUCACAAAACACAGAUUAAGUUGCAAACGAAGGCAUUUCGGUGCCACGUUAUUAGAGGAACAAAGAGUUUGGUAGCCAUUCGCUGGGUAUUCGAAGAAUGAAAGAACAGAUAGCUAUGGGCUAGAUUCCCUCGAGACUUCUUGUCCCCGACUAAAUGGCUAGCAACUUCAGUCUACUUACAUGUGGAACAGUGGAAACAAAGUGUGCUUGGCAUGUGCUAUUAUUACACAAAGCUCUAUAUACGAGUUGCAACUAUAGCUCCCGUCGGUCGAUUUUCACAGAGAUGCGCCCGACUCCCAACUCAAGAGUUUGUCACGCUUUGCAGCAUGUUGUCUAGGGCUCAGAGAGCAAGAUCAGCAUACUGUUUUAACCAACUGACAACUCACAAAAAUGAGCCGAAACUGACAUUAUUCGUAUGCUUCCAUCAGACUGGCCAGUGCCCCUCCAAUCUAUGGCUUUGCUUUGAGCAAGAUGGAAGAGUAUGAAGCAAUUCUAUACCCGGAUCCAGUAAGUGGCACCCCUUCCGGUGUAAUAUCGUUUGGUGAUUCCAGGUUGGUAUCCACCUGCAAAAAGGACACAACAGCAGUUUCAGGCUAAUUAUCCACUAAACUUAUAGCAAGUCAGAACUAAGCCACUUGCUUCCAGAAAAUUGCAAAAAUCUGUCUUUCUUAGAAAACACUGGGGAAAAUAUCAGUAGAUUUUCCAAGCAAUUGAUGUAGUAGCAUGGGAGGAACUAGACAGUACGACCACUGAGUUACAAAAAGUUAGCAAGACAGGAAGUAUACAUACCACACGGUUCCAGCUUUUAUGAUGAGGUGCUGGGGGAAUCACAGCAUCCACAAAAUAGUCAUGGGCAUUGAAUGCCAAAUAGAUAUCUCCACCAGAAUUGUGGUCGUGUAUCCUACAUUAAUCGCCAAACAAAACAGUUGAGAAGACAAGAACUCGUAGCAACCAAACUACAACAAUACUAUCAUAUGGUCAGAAUGAAUUACACAAUAAAAACUGAAAGCCAAACUUCCUUACGUGAAUGCCAAGAAUUUGCUUUCCAAGUUAUCCCAACAAUCCUCAUGCCAGGUGACAUCAUUCUACAAUCAAGAAAGAUCAGAAUGCGAUGAAAACCUUUGGAAGAAAAUUCAAACCAAGAGUUACAUACUUGCAUCCUACAAAAGCUAGGAAUUGUCGUUUCUAACGUGCAAUGCACAAUAAGAGACCAGAUCACAUACUUAGCAAAUACUCAACAGAAACUGAUAACUGUAUUUCAGUAAAGGAAGAACUGUUUAUUUUCAAUACGCCGGUCAACUGCAAGAACACCACUAAGAAUUUGAACAUACUUUACUAAGAAACCUGUCCCGUUUCAGUAUUGGGUGGUUCUGACGAAACUUAAUCAUCUCUGAGAAAAACCUGAAAUGGCCAUAUCUUCUUUCCGCCAACUGUAUCAAACGGACAAGAGGAGAAAACAAGUUAGCAUAUAGAUGUGGCACAUCCAUAACACAUUUUGAAUGGAAAACCAAAAUAAUCAUGUAACCUGUUCCCACUGGAAAUUAUUUAUGCAGGUAUCAUGUCCAUAGCUAUUAUUGUUUCCAUAACGUGUAUGACCAUAUUCAUCUCCCAUCAACAUCAUUGGGGUGCCCUGUUACAAAAACAAAAGGUGCAAUUAGUAAUUUUUACAUUAUGCAAUACCACAUAAAAGUCCAACUGUGAAGUGAUCAAUAAUAUUUACUUGAGAAAUCAUUAAUGCCACAUGGAAGUUCUUCAUUUGUCUCGAACGCAGAGCUAACACAUUCGAAUCAUUUGUUUCUCCUGUUUAGCAACAAGAUCAAAAUAUGAUAACCUUCCAUGGUUGUAUUUUCUUCGAGAAACAGAAAGUGUGCGCUUCGAUGCAUUGAUAGAAAGAAUAGAGUAGUAACCGUAGAAGCCUAAGACUACGCCGAAGCAACCGACCACUCAAGACAAGACCACAACUACAAACAAACACAACCAAACCAACCCUGGCAUAGAUGCCAUCCGCACAAGCGGACAGAACACAACGCCCAUCACAAGAAGAGAGAAUCCAACUCUGCAAAGGGCAGAAUUGGGCUACUCCCACUUUGGAGGCAACAUAGUUGUAUUUGGUCUAUUCUUGAUACAGAAACUUCACUACUAAGAGUAGGCCAUGAGUUCUAUCAAGUGUCAAGCAUACUGCAAAAUUAAUUUUGAACUAAAAAUGCAUUUCGUGUUCUCCUUGUUCUUGUGCAAUACUAUACUUCAGUCAGAUAUCUUAAGAACGGCGGCACUGGAGAUCGCCUCUGUGUGGUUGGAUAUCGGCUCUGGCUGCUUGGGUGGUUGAGUCGUCGACCCGUUGGGUGCACGGCCUCAGGGCCAGUGUGCUGUGCUGCUGAUGUUUGUAAGCCAGAGUGGCGGCUUAGGGUCAUGUGGUAGGGUGUCGACUAGGGUCGCUUGGGCAGCAGAGUCGGCGGCCUAUUGGGGUGCAGCCUCGGGACCGGCGUGUUUGUAUGGCUCGUUUUAUCAGUUUUCAGCCAGUUUGUAUGGCAGGAGUAUAUGAUAAGGUAGAGCUCCUUGGUUGCUCGAAAAAGAAAAAAACUCUCUUUUCACUUGCUAAUUUCAAUAUGAAGAGCAACGCAUGAUAAUGAGUAAUGAUGGUACCUUCAACACCACAGUUCCAGCUAAAGUUAUCAUUGCAUCCAUCACGUCCACCUUCUCCAUUAGCAUCGUUGUGCUAUAUAAUUUUGGUCAAACAGAAAGCAUAUUAACAUAGAUACCACUACCUGUAUAGGACCUUACUUUAUAGUGUUUUUGGUAUACUCGAGUUACCUUUAAGUUGUAUGAUACAAGGUCACAUAAGGUGAACCCAUCAUGUGCGAUUAUAAAGUUCACACCGUGAUGAGGCUUCCGCUGGUUCACCUGCCAAUCAAUAUCACAUCAGAACUUGACUUUGCACGUGGUCCUGUUUUGAACUAUGUAAUCCUAAAUCUUCCACAUAAAAAUAAGUCUCGAAGCUUAUUCACAGAAGCUCCUAGCAGGCUAGCACCUCCAUACAUAGAGUGGUUUAAAUCUCAAAAUGGCAUCUCAUCCAAUAUUCAGAGUACAGCCAAUACCGUUAAGCAUUUGGGUGGAUCUUAGAGAAAUAAAUCAGAAUGAGCAUUGAAAACAAUGCAAAUAGAAUUGCAUACAAAAUAAAUAUGGAGGUUGGAUAUGUUAAUAGCGUAAGCUGCGCCCUGAUGACACUACGGAAAUAGCAAGUGUAUAGUUUCAACCUUCAACAACGCUGAAGACUUAAGCUCCGGAAUUUAUUUUUCUUAACACACACAUAAUUGUGUGUUCACUGUAUUUAGCUCAGGAAUUUGCAAAUACAGUAAAAAGUACACUUUUGAGUCACUUAUUUUGGGACGGAGGGAGUACUAUACAAAACAUCAAGAAACAGGGCUCCAAAAGAAAGUAUGUUUAGUGAUGAUAUAACCAAGCAAGGAAAAUCCUCAACUGAUGGACAAAAUGGCAGNNNNNNNNNNNNNNNNNNNNNNNNNNNNNNNNNNNNNNNNNNNNNNNNNNNNNNNNNNNNNNNNNNAAGAGCACAACUGAACAAAAUACCUGGUAGAGAUCAGCGGAUCCAGAUAUACGAGUUGCCAACACCCCCUUCAUACCAGGGUCACCCUGCAAAAAACCUCCAAAAUGAUUAGCAGGAUUCAAUCAUUCGUCAGUGCUUGCAGAAAUAAUUGGAAAUGUAACAAAGAAAGUAAUCAGGACAAACUCUUUUGCAGAAGUCACUCUAAAUUCAGAUCAAAUGUUACAAAAUCCACUGAUGCUAAAAAGGAAAUAUCUUGGUGUUGUAGGUCUUUGCUGAUUUAGUUAUGAUUAAUUCAAAGACAUUAUGCUAUGGAAAGCAUGAGAGAGUGGAAGCAACAGCAGUCCAUGGAAAAUUGGGUCGGUAAAUUCAAACAGGCAGAGAAGCCUCAUAAAUUCUUGAAAAGUCCAUAUUCUUCUGUGAAAAUCUUUCUCUCUGUUAGCUGUUCUGGCUUUUUUACUUUUCUGAGUUUUAUAUCGGUGGCUUGGCUUUUGUCAAUAUAAAUAUAAGAUAGAGGAUCCUUAAUCUUUCGCCACGGCAAAAUGGUCAUGAACAAAGCCAUCUAAUGAUCUGUCUUAAGAAUAUACAGAAAUGAUCAGGAUUUUGGAGAAUGUUAAAGAUCAGGAUCGGGAUAUAAAGAACAGCACCUUGAUGAACCUUCGAAGGUCGUCUCUAUACUUUCCAUUCCAUUCAGCCCACCUACAGGGGCAUUUGAUUAUAUCUUACAAAUAUUGGCAAUAUUCUCUAACAACAUUGAAACAUAUUCAGCUCUUCGUACAUUUGAAAAAGGAAACAUAGUCUAAUAAGGACUCCUAGACCAAUACUAAUACUCCCUACGUCCCAAUAUAGUGCAAAGUUGUACUGAAGUUGAGACACUUAUUUUGGGACAGAGGGAGUACUUCCUAACAGAAAUUACUGGCAACAAUUUUAGGCAACAAAAGGGACCACCAUAAGAGGAAUGCAGUUGUUAAGUAAUUUAUAAAUGGUCAUCGGAGCAUUACAUCAGCGAUGUUAGAAAAACAAAAAGUAUUUGUGCUACAUUAUCAUCGCAGUGUAAAAAUAGUUUAGUGCUAAACAAGAAACAUAGGUACGAAAAAUAUACAUAUCUAGCAAUUUCAAAUGCACAUAGUGCAAAAUUACCUGUCCCAGUUAGGAAAACGCCCUACUAGAUAAAGACCUCCACAAUCCCAAGGUUCAGCAAUUAUCUUGCAUCGAGAUAACACAGAAUCUUUCGCAAUUUCCUGUGAUCAGCAAAAUAAACAAUGAGACAAAAUAACAACAAACAUCAUAGGCUGAUAGUUCUACAAAAACACUAAUGUAGGCUAUCAGAUGAACAUUGCAGUCUUGAGAAGGUGUGAUAUAUCAUUUGCAAUUUCAUAAACGUAAGGGGGCAUUCAAAAGGUCACACAUUCAUAGGACCCUCAGGUUCCUCUAAAUCUACUUCAUUAAUGACCCACCAAUCAUUCAAAGCUGAUGAUGAAAUUUUGCAUGAUUGCACUAAAUAUCUGCCCGGCAAAUAAUGGUUCAACAACUGAGAAAGAGAAAGCAAAUACGGCAUAAAAUGUUGUGAAGUCCAUAAAUUUCAAGGUGACAUUGGUUCAAGUGAAUUCACUAGGUCACAAUUUGUAUCCGAUCAACCAUAGUUAAUGUAAGAACUUAUGUCUUGUGUUUUCAUGAUAUCAAUGAACUUCAUUUGACUAGAAAGAGGAAAACUGUAUCUCUGAUUUGAAGUUAAACACUACAAUUCUGCAACUAUAAAAUUACCCUGAUGAGUGGAGGAGCAUCAAGAGGACUGCCAUCUGGUCCGCGACAAAGAACACUUGCAAGGUCAAACCGAAAUCCAUCUAUGUGGUAUUCCUUAACCCUUGAAGCAUCAAAUAGUCAUACAAAUAAGAUAACAUACUUAAAAUAUGAUGAACUCUUCAAAAAAGAGAUCAUAAGCAAAUACUUGGUCUGAAUAUUGUAUCAAGAUAUUAAUGAACUACUGCAGUGCAGUUUUCUUGAUCCUUUGGCUGCCUUGCACUAAUACAUUUAAUAUAGGACUUGUCAGUGCAUACAAUACUUUGAUAAGGAGAUCCCUAGCGACUUCACUCGUUCAAGGUUGGAAAUACUUAAGUCGGUCCACUCACAAGGCACGAGAGUCACCACCUAGACUCCAUGAGAAUUGGUUGCCACCUGAUGCUUCUACACUUUGUAUUGGGUAUGGACUGGACAUCAUGGGUACCAAGGAGUGAGGAAACAGGAAUGAUUCGUAAGCCCAGCUACAUUCAGUCGGACUGCAACAGCACAGAGAUCUGAACAACCAUGCUACAUCAUGGGUACCAAGGAGUGAGGAAACAGGAAUGAUUCGUAAGCCCAGCUACAUUCAGUCGGACUGCAACAGCACAGAGAUCUGAACAACCAUGCUACUGGAGGCUCAGUCUGGAGGCACAGCAAGCAACCGGUCCAACCAGAAACUCGGUGUGGAUUAGACAGGUCACACGUUGUUGUUGUUUUUGUCUAGCCUGUUCCAAUCGAACUGGCUCCUAUUCACUUCGCUAGUGUGAGUGGAUAUAGAAGCGAACGCUCACCUCUUUCUUAGAGUUAGUCAAAAAUUUAAGAACAAUGGAACUCAUGAGUUUUGCUCCCCUCCUACGGUUACAGCUUCCAUGUCAUCCUACGAUUGGGAGUUCCGGAGUUUCCCCACCGUUGUUUUUGUUCCAUAUGCAAGAACCGUUUGUGCGAUGGGUUCUUUCUCAAAGGCUAUGACAUUGGCACUUGUUGCUGGCAUCGAUUGCUCAAGCAACUCGAGUCAUCCAUUCCCAUUGCCUGAAGCCCAGGCCUCCCCGUAUAUUAACUGCAGCAGUCAAGUGACUUCAUCAACUAUAACGUGUCACAACCCAGAUGAUUUGAUGGCUAUGAACUAAUGCGUGCAGUGUGUACUGCAACAUAGAGGUAGUUUUCAGUAAUUUCGGUCUAUCAGUAUCAUCUUGAUUUGAUCAUAUAGAUCCGACAGUUCAAUUCCACAUGCAUGUUUAUUUAUUUGUCAGCACUUGAUUGUGAGAGUGGAACACAAGUAUAAACAAGUGCUACCGAAGCAUUGACUAUACUGAUUAAUGAAGACUAAAGAGACGAUGAACAUGAAGACAGAAAUAUGCAUAAACUAAAAUGCAGUUGCUUGACGUAUAGAACAACAUGCAAAUCGUGCAUACCAAUGUCUCAAGCUGUCGAGUACUAGUUCCAUGACAACAGGAUGGUUGCAGUUUAGUGUAUUCCCUGGAUUAAACCGAGUAUACUGUUAACACUUAGGAGUAGACACAAGUUCCACUUACUUGAAAUUUUAAACAUACCAGAAUAUUAAGUACCUAGCCAUCUAAAUGUUAUAGUAUCAACCAGAUAAUUAAGCAGGCUUCCAAUAUUUUUUAACAAGGUUUCCCUAUAGGUAGCAAUGUGGCAGGCUCGCAUCAAUGCUUGGGUUGAAAAAUAUAGUGGCUGCAGCCAAAUAAUGACCAGGUGACCACUCUUAACACUUCCACCAGUCAAUAUAGCAGCUAACGUGGCUGCAAGGUUCAGUCUGAUGGCAUGACAAAAGAUAAUAAACAUAGAUUGAAUCAACAUUUAUCAUUUUAAAUACAUCACAACAAAGUAGCACACAGAUAUGCAGUUUAUUUGCCUAGAAGCACACAAUCACAACAUUAAUUAGCAAGGUACAUGGUUAGUAAGCGGAUCAGCAAAACAAGAUACAUUAACAUCCUUAAAGCCGGAGCAACAACGAACAUACAAAGCAUUGGGUAGCACCCUAGAACAUGUUCAUGUAUCACAAGCACGUCACAAACAAUCAAGUAACAGAAGUUCAGGAAUCAUGGUUUUACCGCAUCCCGAGAAGUUCAGCAGUUGAGAGUUGUUGUUCGGAUCUAACAUGUAAUAAACCUGCAUGAAUGAAAGUAGUGUUUUUGGUAUAAAUUCAUGUAAAACCUGAAGCAGGUGUACACUUCUAAACACUUUGGGGGUUAGAACAGAUUAACUUAACCUGGUCGCAAAUUUUACUUAGCCUUCUAAGACCACUGACUGUCUAACCCAUUAUAUAACAGGUCAAAAGGUUGGAGUGAGCAAACCCGUACACAAAUUUUGAGUUAAGCAGCCCUAUUCCGAUUCUAACCUAGUUCUUUUCAACCCGGAAUAAAACACAGUCUACACACUAGAACUAAGAAAAGAUGGAGCAACAAGCAGAUAGGUGCCUUCAUCGGCUAUAACUCAAAUAAUAAAUCACCUUGUUGUCGAUGCCACGAAAAGAAGUAACAUAAGGAUGAGCGUCAUCUGCUUCAUUCGUAUGGUUGUAAACAACGUCCAGAAUAACCUACACAAAAUGAUGAUACCAUUAAACACAUUUUAUCAUGUGGGGUGAAUAAGAAUGCUACAAUAGGUUGCCAUAUCUACUGGAUGUCAAUACCUCUAUACCAGCUUUAUGCAAUGCCUUGACCAUCUGUUUGAGCUCUCUGGAAGCAGCCAAUGGUCCACCACCAGCACUUGCAUAGCGGGUCAUGGGAGCAAAAAAGUUGAUUGUAGAAUAACCCCAUGUAUUGACCUUCCAAUUGAGAAGUUGAAAAGUCAUUUCACAAUUGAUUCCACUNNNNNNNNNNNNNNNNNNNNNNNNNNNNNNNNNNNNNNNNNNUGACAUCAUGCACAAAGUGGCAUAUCAGAAUUUUUACCAUGUGGUCCCUUGGGUUAGGGUAUCUCUUGAACUCCAGCUCAUCAAACUCAAAAACAGGUAGCAACUCCACUGCAUUAACUCCGAGUUCAAGCAAAUGCGGGAUCUACAAAACCGCAACUAUUGCAUGCAUAAGUCAUUAAACAAUAUAGGCUUGAAGCCUUGAACACUGAAAACUAAUAUGCAUAUCAGGUUCCCAACACUAGAUCACUAAAAUAAUAGUGGGAAUAUAUUUAUUCCGCUAAUAACUUCCAGUAAGGGCAGCCCGGUGCACGUAGCUCCAGGACUCGAACCCGUGACCUCAUGGUCACUAGGCAACAGCUUUACCGCUGCGCCAAGGCUCCCCUUCAAUAACUUUCAGUAAGGACAAAACAAAUAAUUGUGGUCACAAGCCACACAAUAAGAAGAAAUUAAAACUUACUUUGUCGAUGAAUCCUAGAUAGCUUCCACGAACAGCUGGAUCAAGCCCACUUGACUCAUCCGCAGUGAAAGCGCGAACGUUCAUCUCAUAUAUAACUAGAUCUGUCUAGAUUAAAGAACAGAAGAAAAGUAGUGAACUUCAUGUUUAGGAUGCUUUCUUCAUCUAUUCUAUGAAAUGAUCCUAGUACCUCAGGCAAAUUUGGAAGCUGGUAAUCAGCACCCCAAUCAAAAGGAGAGCUAUCAAAAUCAUAUGUUCCAAAAGGCUGGCUUGGCUUCCCUUUAUCAACACCAAAGUAAUUUCGACCAGAAACUAGUUUCGCGUAAGGGUCAAGAAGAAUAAUGUUGCUAUCAAACCUAUGGCCUUGUUCCCAUCCUUGAGGACCAUUAACACGAUAUCCAUAAAGAACUCCAGAAGUGGGCAACCCCUGAAAGUACAUUUAUAUAAGGCUUCAUUCAUCAUAUAUGCAUGGGAAAAUACAUAGAAGCAAAAUAGGCACAGAUUUCUCCUCCUAACAAUAAAUAUUGUAAAGAACAUAGGAUAUGUUUUCAGCCAAGACCAAAAGAGAACAUAAGGAUUUCUCCUCCCAACAAUAAAUAUUGUAAAGAAUAUAAGGAUAUGUUUUUCAGCCAAGACCAAAAUAGAUAGAUGUGUAACAUGCUGGAAGCUUUUUCUAUAGAAGGGGUUUUCUCCUCUAUUUCACCCAGAAACCACAAAAACCCUUGCAGUAAACUGAAACAUGCUAGAAGUGACACAGUGAGAUAGCCAAAGUUAUGAGCCUGCACUACUCAGCAGUGCAUUUUUUUUUCUUUUUAUGAAUGAGUUGACGUGAUAAGAUCAGUGCUUUCAAAGCAUAUGAUUCUCAUAAAAUUAAAUCUUGUUACUCAGUGAGAUAGCCAAAGUUAUGAGCCUGCACUACUCAGCAGUGCAUUUUUUUUCUUUUUAUGAAUGAGUUGACAUGAUAAGAUCAGUGUUUUCAAAAUAUAUGAUUCUCAUAAAAUUGAAUCUUGUUUUGAAGAAUAUGUAAUACAGAUACACAUGAGGCGAAUGAUGGGAUUCUUCUUCCAUAAAUGUCAGCCACACCAAGUUGUCAAUAUUGAAAAGAAUAAUGCCUUAUCUUCGAAGGUACAGAUAACAUGAAAGCUUCAUAACAAUACCUCCACCAACACAUGCCAUAUAUCUCCAGUUUUGUUCUUCUGGCAAUCUAAAGCAAACUCCACAAGUUUUUCACUUUCUUCAUCCUUGGUUCCUCUGAAGGGCAAUCAAGUAUGUCAGACAAUGAGAAAAUCAUAUUCCGUUGGAAAGAGAAUGCAAGAUGAACAAGCUAAAGUACAACGCUGAUCUGCAAAAGGUUAUUCCAACCAGGCCAACAGCCCAGAUCAACUAAUAAAAUGGCAACCUGGGAACCAAAUAAACAUUGUUUUGUGCAUUCGAUCUGCAACACACACAAACAGUUGAUCAAAGUGAUGUGUUUUGGCUUUGUGAACAACUUGUUUUGUGGGAAACCAGGAUUCAUGAGUUCUAGCCUAAAAGGCAAAAACAGUUCACUUAAAUGACACUGAAAGCAACAAAACCACACAAUUUAGGAAAGAUUGUCUGUACCUCUCAGCAAGCUUGAUGCAGAGAGUGACAGAAGAAGCAUGUUGAGAGAAAAUCGCGAAGUUGAUACCACUUUCAACCUGCGACACUCCUAGAGGGGAUGCUUUGCCGGAAGAAUAUUUCAAGGGCAUUUCGGUGCCUGCCAUUGCGCUUUCCUUUUCCUGGCGAUGUUACAGAAUGAACAUACACUUUAGCAAAAAGUACAUGAUACAGAACGGGGAAUAAGGAUAUUCAGCAUCAUACAGUUAAUGAAUACUUGAAUUCAAACAUAUUCGCUUAGCGGAAAGUUUCACCAGGACAAUAACUCAUGACAUGUCAAAUUACCACGAAUGUAUAUCAAACAAACAAUUCAGUACACCGGCAGCUAAAUGGAUACAGUACGAUACAACCAUGCAUGGGAUGAACACUUGAGCACGGUGCGAUACCUCGGUCGCGAUUCUCCCAGCAUUACCAGCCUGAGCUCUCGCCGUGGUAGUCCGCACGGACCCAAAUCGCUGUGCCUGCACCACGACAAAAUCCGCUCGGAUCAAUCCACCAAUUAGAACGGAUAUAUGGAUGCACCCCGCGAAAAAAAAAAGUAGUACAAAAAUCGAGACACCUGCCUUUCCGAAAUGCCCUCCUCCGCACCCGGGCGCGACCCCAAGCCUGCUCGCCGCCACACUGCACAACCAACCACAUUACACAUGCAUCAUUCAGAGCGGCAGAUUGAACGGCACGAAAACGACAGAAUGCAGCGCGGCGAAACGAGGUCGCGCGAAGAGAGGGGGAAACACGCACCGGUUCGGAAGCGCGGAGCUGCUGCUUCGGCGUGCGGUGGCGGUGGCGGUGGCGGCGGCGGCGGGGCGCAGCGGGGAGCGAUUUGUAGAGGCCGCCGAAUCCAUCCAAAUGAGGGGGGUGGUGCUGGGACGGGUGGCGGGAGGGGUUUGACCCGGGACCGGGGCUAGUUAUAGGGGCCCGUGGACGCGGUCAUGGGGCGGCUCUCGAGGUCGACGGAGUGGAGUGGCGAUGGGGAGCGCAAGUCGGAGCGGGAGGAGGAGGAGGAUGCGGCGGUGAUCUCACCUCGGGGAGGGCGCGCGGGGGAAUGGGGCGACGGGGAUGGGGGGUGGACACGUGGUGNNNNNNNNNNNNNNNNNNNNNNNNNNNNNNNNNNNNNNNNNNNNNNNNNNNNNNNNNNNNNNNNNNNNNNNNUAGGGAAGUGGACGGACGACCUCGCUUCCGGGCAUCCGGCCCGACGUGUGGUGUCGUGUCGUCAUGCGCUUUCUGUAGAACAGUUUUUUUUCUUCUUACAACAGUUACUAGUGGUGUCCUCUAAAAAAGAAACAGUUACCGGUGAAUGAUAGCACUGUUUGUACUCUGACUGAGUUAAACGUUAGAGUUAGGCCAUGUUUCUUUAAAAAGUCUUAGGACUUUUUUUAGUCCCAACUAAAAAGUCUCUAGUCCCUACCUGUUUUUUUUCUAAAAAUUAAACAUGGACUAAAGGUCAUUAAAUGACAUGAAAAAAAAUAUGUUACCCGUAGUAAUAUACUAGAAGUUAUUAAAUGACAUGCUAAAAGUAGGGGCACUGUUGGAAAAAGUGCCAAAAAAGUCCCAAAAAGUCCCUCCCAUAGGGACUUCUUCAUUUAGUCCCAAAUACCCCAUUUUAGUCCCUAAAAGUCCCUCGUGUUUCUUUCACAUGGGACUAAAAGGGACUUUUUUUAGUCUAUACACCAAAAAGUCCCUGGAAAGAAACACCCCCUCAGAUUAUAAGGUUGGUCGUAAUGGGAGUACCAUAGCUAGUAUCAUGCAUGCCAACUAAGCAAUUUUGAUGAGGUGGUAUAAAAUUAAAUAAAAAAAAGAGGGUUGAGUAUCAUAUCAUGAUAUGAUGAUACCGUAUCAUAUUAAAUGAUGUGCUACUAGUAUGUGUCUUGCAUGACAAUAAAUGAAUUAUCCUAUGAUACUAACAUAUGAUGCUAUGCAUUACGGAUGUGGUAUCAUCCACUAGUAUCAUAUGCAUGAUACUAACAUAUGAUACUACCCAUUACAAUCUCUGGUUGUAAUGCAAGACACGUAAUAGCACAUCAUUUAAUAUGAUACGGUAUCAUAAUAUGAUACUCAAUCCUCUCUUUCUUCAUUUAAUUCUAUGUCACCUCAUCGAAAUUGCUUAGUUGGCAUGCAUGAUACUACCUAUGAUACUCCUAUUACGGGCAGCCUAAUACUGAACUAACUCUAACCAGAGAGGUGUUUGGAUGUCAGGGUUAGAUUGAUAAUAAAUACUAUUUUUCAAUCAUUUGGUUACUUUGGACCGUAUUUCCUGCCGGAUUUGGUGUGGCCGCCCCUUGUGUGGCCUCCUCCCGCUCGGGGGGCGGCUAUGGUUGUGGCUACGGGAGGGGAUGUGGAUGGGUCGAAGGGAUCUGGUGCGGUGGAGGCGGAGGGAAAAGUGAUUUUUUUUCGACCUCACCUAACUCUAACCCAAAUAAACACCUCGCCAUGGAGUUUUUUUUUGGUGGGUUAGAUGCAUCUAACCAAAACUUACCCUCUUGUUUGGAUGUUUUUGGUUAGUUAAGCCUAAGCUAACCCAAACUAACUCUAACCCAUUUAUCCAAACAGAACCGAUGAGAAACGGUCGGAUUCACAAACAGAUCAGGUGGGAAACUAGCUUUAAGAGCAUCUUCAUCCAUGAUUUGCAAAUUUGGGCCCUGAAACGUCCGCGGACGCGCCUGGUUAGUGACCGGACGUCUCUAUUUGUCCUCCCGUGUAUUCACACUCCUCAUUUUCUUCCUCAUAUGUCCGGUCACUUCCACGUUAUUGGUGAAGAGGAAGAGAGAGAAAGAAAAGAAUGAAUAAAGAAAAGAAAAGGAUGGUCUAGGGCGGGGUUGCGUCCUAUGUGGCGGACUGACCGAGCGCGCCCAGGCGCGUCCGCGAGGCCUCAUAUCCUUCUCAUAUUUAAGAUGGAUAUGAGGGUUCACGGACAACCCGGACAUAUAGGGACUAUAUGAGGGGUCUGGUUGGGUCACUUUUUCCUUCUCUCUCCUGUUCGGUCACUAACCGGACGCGUUCGCGGACGUAUGAGGGGUCAUUUGAGGGGUACAGUUGCGCAACCAUACUCUCUCGAUGGUGGCGCCCCAUAUGGCAUUGUGCCUCUCUCGGCCUCAUCAACGAGCACAUGCUCUGCAAUGACUAUCGCAAACGCUUGGAUGCAUUGUCCCAGAUCCUCGACACACACUGUGGCCCAAUCAGAGGCCUUACUAUGGGCAGGUUUCAUUCCAACGGCAAGGACCGAGCCAAGCUCGACGAGUGGUUCUUAUCGUCCGCCCUAGAUUAGCUCGAGGAGCUCACUUUAAUGAUGGACAUAUGCGCUCAUUGCCACCCUCCACGUUGCACCUCGCGCUUAAGUUGCACAAUGCUAGGUUCGUGAACUGCCAUUUCCCCGAGAUUAACAUCGAUCCCGCAUUUUUACUACCUCGGCUGAAGCACCUCGAGCUCGUCGAUUUCUGCAUCCCCAAUGAUGACACGGAGUGCCUGCUCCGCGGCUAUACUGCGCUCGAGUACCUUCAUCUUUAGGCAAUCAAUGGAUUGAGUAUCCUCCACAUCGCCUCCUUGAGUCUUUGGACAAUUUGUGUGUAUUGGUGGUGCUGUAAUAGGAGAUCAGACAAGUUGAAUCACCAAAUGGUCAUCGAGGAUGCGCCUUUACUGGAGAGAUUACUUGUAGUCGAUCAACAAGGUCCAACAAGAAUCAGGGUCAUUUAUGCACCGAAGUUGACCGUGUUUCCCUACUCUCACAUCAACUUCUCUGAACUUGUUAUUGGAUCCAUAACCAUCCAGGUACAUCAGUCGCCUUCUUAUCCUCCUUGAAAUAAACAUUUAUUUUUCUGUAUUAAAGAUGUAUGUUCGUUUGUCAUUCGAAAUAUUAUUCCAACAAGCUCGAUGAAAGGACGUGGAUGUCGCCUAGAGGGGGGGGAAUAGGCGCUUUAAAAUAAUUAAGGUUUAGGCUUGAACAAAUGCGGAAUAAAACUAACGUUUAAUAUGUCAAGCACAAAACCUAAAAACAACUAGGCUCACCUAUGUGCACCAACAACUUAUGCUAAGCAAGAUAAACAACUAAGUGAUAGCAAGAUAUAUUACAAUAAACAAUAUGUCUAUCACAAAGUAAAGUGCAUAAGUAAAGGGUUCGGGUAAGAGAUAACCGAGGCACGGGGAGACGAUGAUGUAUCCCGAAGUUCACACCCUUGAGGAUGCUAAUCUCCAUUAGAGUGGUGUGGAGGCACAAUGCUCCCCAAGAUGCCACUAAGGCCACCGUAAUCUCCUCACGCCCUCGCACAAUGCAAGAUGCCGUGAUUCCACUAAGGGACCCUUGAGGGCGGUCACCGAACCCAUACAAAUGGCAAUCCUUGGGGGCGGUCACCGAACCCGUACGCGUGGCAACCCUUGGGGGCGGUUACCGGUACCCGUACAAAUUGCUCGGGGCUAUCUCCACAACCUAAUUGGAGACCCCGACGCUUGCCCGGAGCUUCACACCACAAUGAUUGAGCUCCGAGACACCACCAAGCUUCUAGGAUGCCAAAGCAUCCACGAAGAACAAUAUCUAGGGUACUAAGUACCAAAGGUAGUAAGCUUCUCAACUUCUCACUUCCACGUAUCACCGUGGAGAACUCAAACCGAUGCAACUAAUGCAAUGGCAAGAACACACAAAGUGGUCAAGUCCCUCACACUCAAAUCCCUCCACAACAACAAAAGCUAUGGAGAAAUAUGAGAGGAAGAACAAGGAGCUCACAAAGAACUCCAAGAUCUAGAUCCAAGGGGUUCUCCUCACAUAGAGGAGAAAGUGAUUGGUGGAGAUGUGGAUCUAGAUCUCCUCUCUCUUUUCCCUCAAGAACAAGCAAGAAUCAUUGGAGGGAUUGAGAGUUAGCAAGCUCUAAGAAUGUCAACUAUGGAGGUAGAACAAGAGCUCAACGGAUAGAUGAGGCCAAGGGGGAAGAAGACCCCCUUUAUAUAGUGGGGGAAGGAAUCAGACCGUUACCCCCACUUACAGCCCGAGCCCAGCGGUACUACCGCUGGCUCCAGCGGUACUACUGCUGGCUGCAGCGGUACUACCGCUGACCCUCCGGCGGUACUACCGCUGACUGCAGCGGUACUAUCGUGGACCCUCCAGCGGUACUACCGCUGGCUGCAGCGGUACUACCGCUGAGCCCAUGGUAGCGCAAAGAUACUACCGGGCCAACCACCGCCAAGAAAGUCUUCGCAAAAAUGUCCGACGCAGUACAACCGCAAAGAUGACGGUACUAAAAACUUGGAGCGGUACUACCGCUGGCCAGGGGCGGUGCUACCACUAGGGCCAGCGGUACUACCGCCAACUCUAGCGGUACUACCGCUAGGUCCAGCGGUACUACCGCUCGCCACUGAGACAGCCAUAACUUUCGCAUACGAGCUCCGAAUCAAGCAAACCCAAGCUUGUUGGAAAUCUUAAGACCAUGCAGAUAUGAAAAUGACAAUGAUAUAGAGAUGUGAGUCCUCUAAGAAUGAAGAACCGGAAAAAACUCCAACAUCGAAAACUGUUGGAAUUAUGCCCUAGAGGCAAUAAUAAAUAUAUAGUUAUUAUUAUAAUUCUUGUAUCAAGAUAAUAGUUUAUUAUCCAUGCUAUAAUUGUAUUGAAUGAAGACUCAUUUACAUGUGUGGAUACAUAGACAAAACACCGUCCCUAGCAUGCCUCUAGUUGGCUAGCCAGUUGAUCGAUGAUAGUCAGUGUCUUCUGAUUAUGAACAAGGUGUUGUUGCUUGAUAACUGGAUCAUGUCAUUGGGAGAAUCACGUGAUGGACUAGACCCAAACUAAUAGACGUAGCAUGUUGAUCGUGUCAUUUUGUUGCUACUGUUUUCUGCGUGUCAAGUAUUUAUUCCUAUGACCAUGAGAUCAUAUAACUCACUGACACCGGAGGAAUGCUUUGUGUGUAUCAAACGUCGCAACGUAACUGGGUGACUAUAAAGAUGCUCUACAGGUAUCUCCGAAGGUAUUAGUUGAGUUAGUAUGGAUCAAGACUGGGAUUUGUCACUCCGUGUGACGGAGAGGUAUCUCGGGGCCCACUCGGUAAUACAACAUCACACACAAGCCUUGCAAGCAAUGUAACUUAGUGUAAGUUGCGGGAUCUUGUAUUACGGAACGAGUAAAGAGACUUGCCGGUAAACGAGGUUGAAAUAGGUAUACGGAUACUGACGAUCGAAUCUCGGGCAAGUAACAUACCGAAGGACAAAGGGAAUGACAUACGGGAUUAUAUGAAUCCUUGGCACUGAGGUUCAAACGAUAAGAUCUUCGUAGAAUAUGUAGGAUCCAAUAUGGGCAUCCAGGUCCCGCUGUUGGAUAUUGACCGAGGAGUCUCUCGGGUCAUGUCUACAUAGUUCUCGAACCCGCAGGGUCUGCACACUUAAGGUUCGACGUUGUUUUAUGCGUAUUUGAGUNNNNNNNNNNNNNNNNNNNNNNNNNNNNNNNNNNNNNNNNNNNNNNNNNNNNNNNNNNNNNNNNNNNNNNNNNNNNNNNNNNNNNNNNNNNNNNNNNNNNNNNNNNNNNNNNNNNNNNNNNNNNNNNNNNNNNNNNNNNNNNNNNNNNNNNNNNNNNNNNNNNNNNNNNNNNNNNNNNNNNNNNNNNNNNNNNNNNNNNNNNNNNNNNNNNNNNNNNNNNNNNNNNNNNNNNNNNNNNNNNNNNNNNNNNNNNNNNNNNNNNNNNNNNNNNNNNNNNNNNNNNNNNNNNNNNNNNNNNNNNNNNNNNNNNNNNNNNNNNNNNNNNNNNNNNNNNNNNNNNNNNNNNNNNNNNNNNNNNNNNNNNNNNNNNNNNNNNNNNNNNNNNNNNNNNNNNNNNNNNNNNNNNNNNNNNNNNNNNNNNNNNNNNNNNNNNNNNNNNNNNNNNNNNNNNNNNNNNNNNNNNNNNNNNNNNNNNNNNNNNNNNNNNNNNNNNNNNNNNNNNNNNNNNNNNNNNNNNNNNNNNNNNNNNNNNNNNNNNNNNNNNNNNNNNNNNNNNNNNNNNNNNNNNNNNNNNNNNNNNNNNNNNNNNNNNNNNNNNNNNNNNNNNNNNNNNNNNNNNNNNNNNNNNNNNNNNNNNNNAUCGUCGAGCUGUACGUGUGCUGAACGCGGAGGUGCCGUCCGUUCGGUACUAGAUCGUGGGACUGAUCGCGGGAUUGUUCGCGGGGCGGAUCGAGGGACGUGAGGACGUUCCACUACAUCAACCGCGUUCUCUAACGCUUCUGCUGUACGAUCUACAAGGGUACGUAGAUCACUCAUCCCCUCUCGUAGAUGGACAUCACCAUGAUAGGUCUUCGUGCGCGUAGGAAUUUUUUUGUUUCCCAUGCGACGUUCCCCAACAGUGGCAUCAUGAGCUAGGUUCAUGCGUAGAUGUCUUCUCGAGUAGAACACAAAAGGUUUUGUGGGCGGUGAUGUGCGUUUUGCUGCCCUCCUUAGUCUUUUCUUGAUUCCGCGGUAUUGUUGGAUUGAAGCGGCUUGGACCGACAUUACUCGUACGCUUACGAGAGACUGGUUUCAUCGUUACGAGUAACCGCCUUUGCUCAAAGAUGACUGGCAAGUGUCGGUUUCUCCAACUUUAGUUGAAUCGGAUUUGACCGAGGAGGUCCUUGGAUGAGGUUAAAUAGCAACUCAUAUAUCUCCGUUGUGGUGUUUGCGUAAGUAAGAUGCGAUCCUACUAGAUACCCUUGGUCACCACGUAAAACAUGCAACAACAAAAUUAGAGGACGUCUAACUUGUUUUUGCAGGGUAUGAUUGUGAUGUGAUAUGGCCAACGAUGUGAUGUGAUAUAUUGGAUGUAUGAGAUGAUCAUGUUGUAAUAGAAAUAUCGACUUGCAUGUCGAUGGUACGACAACCGGCAGGAGCCAUAGGGUUGUCUUUAUACUAACGUUUGUGCUUGCAGAUGCGUUUACUAUUUUGCUAGGAUGUAGCUUGAGUAGUAAUAGCAUAAGUAGCACGACAACCCCGAUGGCAACACGUUGAUGGAUGAUCAUGGUGUGGCGCCGGUGACAAGAAGAUCGUGCCGGUGCUUUGGUGAUGGAGAUCAAGAAGCACGUGAUGAUGGCCAUAUCAUGUCACUUAUGAAUUGCAUGUGAUGUUAAUCCUUUUUGCACCUUGUUUUGCUUAGAACGACGGUAGCAUUAUGAGGUGAUCUCUCACUAAAAUUUCAAGACGAAAUUGUGUUCUCCCCGACUGUGCACCGUUGCUACAGUUCGUCGUUUCGAGACACCACGUGAUGAUCGGGUGUGAUAGACUCAACGUUCACAUACAACGGGUGCAAAACAGUUGCGCAUGCGGAACACUCGGGUUAAGCUUGACGAGCCUAGCAUGUGCAGACAUGGCCUCGAAACACAUGAGACCGAAAGGUCGAUCAUGAAUCAUAUAGUUGAUAUGAUUAGCAUAGGGAUGCUUACCACUGAAACUAUACUCAACUCACGUGAUGAUCGGACUUGGGAUAGUGUAAGUGGAUCAUGAACCACUCAAAUGACUAGAGAGAUGUACUUUUUGAGUGGGAGUUUAGCAUAUAAUUUGAUUAAGUUGAACUCUAAUUAUCUUGAACAUAGUCUAAGUCCAUUUUGAAUAUAUUUGUGUUGUAGAUCAUGGCUCACGCAAGUGUCAUCCUGAAUUUUAAUACGUUCCUAGAGAAAGCUAAGUUGAAAGAUGAUGGAAGCAACUUUGUAGACUAGGCUCGUAAUCUUAAGCUUAUCUUACAAGCUGGAAAGAAGGAUUAUGUCCUUAAUGCUGCGCUAGGAGAUGAACCACCCGCUACGGCUGAUCAGGAUGUUAAGAACGCUUGGUUAGCACGUAAGGAGGACUACUCAAUAGUUCAAUGUGCAGUCUUGUAUGGCUUAGAACCGGGACUUCAACGUCGCUUUGAGCGUCAUGGAGCAUUUGAGAUGUUCCAGGAGUUGAAGUUUAUCUUUCAGAAGAACGCCCGGAUCGAGAGGUAUGAGACCUCCGAUAAAUUCUAUGCUUGCAAGAUGGAGGAAAACUCGUCUGUCAGUGAACAUGUGCUCAAAAUGUCUGGGUACUCAAACCGUCUAGCUGAACUGGGGAUUGAACUCCCGCAAGAAGCUAUCACUGACAGAAUCCUUCAAUCACUGCCGCCAAGCUAUAAAGGCUUUGUGUUGAACUACAACAUGCAAGGGAUGAACAAGUCUCCCGGCGAGUUGUUUGCGAUGCUGAAAGUCGCAGAGUCUGAACUCCGUAAAGAGCAUCAAGUGUUGAUGGUGAGCAAGACCACUAGUUUCAAGAGAAACGGCAAAGGCAAGAAGGGCAAUUCGAAGAAGAGCGGCAAGCCUGUUGCCAAUCCGCCGAAGAAACCCAUGGCUGGACCUAAGCCUGAAACAGAGUGCUUCUAUUGCAAGGGUAUGGGUCACUGGAAGCGCAAUUGCCCCAAGUAUCUGGCAGAUAAGAAGGCGGGCAAAGAAAAAUCAGGUAUAUUUGAUAUACAUGUUAUUGAUGUGUACUUAACCGGCUCUCGUAGUAGUGCCUGGGUAUUCGAUACCGGUUCUGUUGCUCACAUUUGCAACUCGAAGCAGGAACUGCGGAAUAGACGAAGGCUGACGAAAGACGAAGUGACGAUGCGCGUAGGAAACGGUUCCAAGGUUGAUGCAAUCGCCGUCGGUGCAGUGUCACUUCAACUACCAUCGGGAUUAGUGAUGAACUUAAAUCAUUGUUAUUUAGUGCGUGCGUUGAGCAUGAACAUUAUAUCUGGAUCUUGUUUAUUGCGAGACGGUUACUCUUUUAAGUCUGAGAAUAAUGGUUGUUCUAUUUCUAUGAGUAACAUCUUUUAUGGUCAUGCACCGAAUGUGAGAGGAUUGUUCAUAUUGAAUCUUGAUAGAGAUACGCAUAUACAUAACAUUGAGACCAAAAGAGUUAGAGUAAACAAUGAUAGCGCCAUAUUUUUGUGGCACUGCCGCUUGGGUCAUAUUGGUGUAAAGCGCAUGAAGAAACUCCAUGUUGAUGGACUUUUGGAGUCACUUGACUUUGAUUCACUUGACACGUGCGAACCAUGCCUCAUGGGCAAGAUGACUAAGACUCCGUUCUCCGGAACAAUGGAGCGUGCAAGUGACUUGUUGGAAAUCAUACAUACCGAUGUGUGUGGUCCAAUGAGCGUGGAGGCACGCGUCGGAUAUCGUUAUUUUCUCACCUUCACUGACGAUUUAAGUAGAUAUGGUUAUGUCUACUUGAUGAAGCACAAGUCUGAAACAUUUGAAAAGUUCAAGCAAUUUCAGAGUGAAGUGGAAAAUCAUCGUAACAAGAAGAUCAAGUUCCUACGGUCUGAUCGUGGGGGUGAAUAUCUGAGUUUCGAGUUUGGUACUCACUUAAGACAAUGUGGAAUUGUUUCGCAGUUAACACCGCCUGGAACACCACAGCGUAAUGGUGUGUCCGAACGUCGUAAUCGUACUUUGUUAGAAAUGGUGCGAUCUAUGAUGUCUCUUACUGAUUUGCCGUUAUCGUUUUGGGGUUAUGCAUUAGAAACAGCUGCAUUCACUUUAAAUAGGGCACCAUCAAAAUCCGUUGAGACGACACCAUACGAACUGUGGUAUGGCAAAAGGCCAAAGUUGUCGUUUCUUAAAGUUUGGGGAUGUGAUGCUUAUGUCAAAAAGCUUCAGCCUGAAAAGCUGGAACCCAAAGCGGAAAGGUGCGUCUUCAUAGGUUACCCAAAAGAGACAGUUGGGUACACCUUCUAACUCAAAUCCGAGGGCAAAGUGUUUGUUGCUAAGAACGGAACUUUUCUCGAGAAGGAGUUUCUCUCGAGAGAAUUGAGUGGGAGGAAGAUAGAACUUGACGAGGUUGUCGAACCUCUCAUCCCUCUGGAUGGUGGCGCAGGGCAAGGGGAAACCUCUGUCAUUGCGACGCCGGUUGAGGAGGAAGUUAAUGAUGAUGAUCAUGAAACUCCAGUUCAAGUUUCUGUUGAACCACGCAGGUCGACGAGAUCACGCGCUGCUCCAGAGUGGUACGGUAAUCCCGUCUUAUCAAUCAUGUUGUUAGACAACAAUGAACCUGCAAAUUAUGAAGAAGCAAUGGUGGGCCCAGAUUCCAACAAAUGGCUAGAAGCCAUGAAAUCCGAGAUAGGAUCCAUGUAUGAGAACAAAGUGUGGACUUUGGAGAUACUGCCUGAGGGCCGCAAGGCUAUUCAGAACAAAUGGAUCUUUAAGAAGAAGACGGACGCUGACGGUAAUGUGACCGUUUAUAAAGCUCGACUUGUGGCAAAGGGUUUUUCACAAGUUCCAGGAAUUGACUACGAUGAGACUUUCUCUCCCGUAGCGAUGCUUAAGUCCGUAAGAAUCAUGUUAGCAAUAGCUGCAUUUUUCGAUUAUGAAAUCUGGCAGAUGGAUGUCAAAACGGCGUUCCUUAACGGUUUCCUUAAGGAAGAGUUGUAUAUGAUGCAACCCGAAGGUUUUUUCGAUUCUAAAAAUGCUGACAAGGUGUGCAAGCUCCAGCGAUCCAUUUAUGGACUGGUGCAAGCAUCUCGGAGUUGGAACAAACGCUUUGAUGAGGUGAUCAAAGCAUUUGGGUUUAUACAAGUGGUUGGAGAAUCUUGUAUUUACAAGAAAGUGAGUGGGAGCUCUGUGGCGUUUCUAAUAUUAUAUGUGGAUGACAUAUUACUGAUUGGAAACAAUGUAGAGCUUUUGGAGAGCAUAAAAGGUUACUUGAAUAAAAGUUUCUCUAUGAAGGACCUAGGAGAAGCUGCUUACAUUCUAGGCAUUAAGAUCUAUAGGGAUAGAUCAAAACGCCUGAUAGGACUUUCACAAAGCACAUACCUUGAUAAAGUUUUGAAGAGGUUCAAAAUGGAACAGUCCAAGAAAGGGUUCUUGCCAGUGUUACAAGGUACGAGAUUGAGUAAGACUCAGUGCCCAGCAACUGAUGAAGAUAGAGAGCAUAUGCGCUCCGUCCCCUAUGCUUCAGCCAUAGGCUCUAUCAUGUAUGCCAUGCUGUGCACUAGACCGGAUGUUAGCCUGGCCAUAAGUAUGGCAGGUAGGUUCCAGAGUAAUCCAGGAGUGGAUCACUGGAUGGCGGUCAAGAAUAUCCUGAAGUACCUGAAAAGGACUAAGGAGAUGUUUCUCGUGUAUGGAGGUGACGAAGAGCUCGCCGUAAAAGGUUACGUCGAUGCAAGCUUUGACACAGAUCCGGACGACUCUAAGUCGCAAACCGGAUACGUAUUUAUUCUUAAUGGGGGUGCAGUAAGCUGGUGCAGUUCCAAGCAAAGCGUCGUAGCAGAUUCUACAUGUGAAGCGGAGUACAUGGCUGCCUCGGAGGCGGCUAAGGAGGGUGUCUGGAUGAAGCAGUUCAUGACGGAUCUUGGAGUGGUGCCAAGUGCACUGGAUCCAAUAACCUUGUUCUGUGACAAUACUGGUGCCAUUGCCUUAGCAAAGGAACCAAGGUUUCACAAGAAGACCAGACACAUCAAACGACGCUUCAACCUCAUCCGCGACUACGUCGAGGAGGAGGACGUAAAUAUAUGCAAAGUGCACACGGAUCUGAAUGUAGCAGACCCGCUGACUAAACCUCUUCCAUGGCCAAAACAUGAUCGACACCAAACUGUAUGGGUGUUAGAUUUAUUACAAUGUAAUUCACAUGGUGAUGUGAGGGCUAGAUUAUUGACUCUAGUGCAAGUGGGAGACUGUUGGAAUUAUGCCCUAGAGGCAAUAAUAAAUGUAUAGUUAUUAUUAUAAUUCCUGUAUCAAGAUAAUAGUUUAUUAUCCAUGCUAUAAUUGUAUUGAAUGAAGACUCAUUUACAUGUGUGGAUACAUAGACAAAACACCGUCCCUAGCAUGCCUCUAGUUGGCUAGCCAGUUGAUCGAUGAUAGUCAGUGUCUUCUGAUUAUGAACAAGGUGUUGUUGCUUGAUAACUGGAUCACGUCAUUGGGAGAAUCACGUGAUGGACUAGACCCAAACUAAUAGACGUAGCAUGUUGAUCGUGUCAUUUUGUUGCUACUGUUUUUUGCGUGUCAAGUAUUUAUUCCUAUGACCAUGAGAUCAUAUAACUCACUGACACCGGAGGAAUGCUUUGUGUGUAUCAAACGUCGCAACGUAACUGGGUGACUAUAAAGAUGCUCUACAGGUAUCUCCGAAGGUAUUAGUUGAGUUAGUAUGGAUCAAGACUGGGAUUUGUCACUCCGUGUGACGGAGAGGUAUCUCGGGGCCCACUCGGUAAUACAACAUCACACACAAGCCUUGCAAGCAAUGUAACUUAGUGUAAGUUGCGGGAUCUUGUAUUACGGAACGAGUAAAGAGACUUGCCGGUAAAACGAGAUUGAAAUAGGUAUGCGGAUACUGACGAUCGAAUCUCGGGCAAGUAACAUACCGAAGGACAAAGGGAAUGACAUACGGGAUUAUAUGAAUCCUUGGCACUGAGGUUCAAACGAUAAGAUCUUCGUAGAAUAUGUAGGAUCCAAUAUGGGCAUCCAGGUCCCGCUAUUGGAUAUUGACCGAGGAGUCUCUCGGGUCAUGUCUACAUAGUUCUCGAACCCGCAGGGUCUGCACACUUAAGGUUCGACGUUGUUUUAUGCGUAUUUGAGUNNNNNNNNNNNNNNNNNNNNNGGAAACAAAGAUUGAUAUAUAGGAUGACCUCAUUUGAUUACCGGAAGGUUUUCGGAGUUACCGGGAAUGUACCGGGAAUGACGAAUGGGUUCCGGGAGUUCACCGGAGGGGGGCAACCCACUCCGGGGAAGCCCAUGGGCAUUUGGGGGGGUCACACCAGCCCUUAGUGGGCUGGUGGGACAGCCCACCAAUCCCCUAUGCGCCAAGAGAGAAAAAAUCAAAGGAAAGAAAAAAAGGGAAGAAGUGGGAAGGGGGAAGGACUCCCUCCCACCAAACCAAGUAGGACUCGGUUUGGGGGGGGGGGGGGAGCCCUCCCCCCUGGCUCGGCCGACCCCUUGGGGAUCCCUUGGACCCCAAGGCAAGGUCCCCCUCCCUCCUCCUAUAUAUAUGGGGCUUUUAGGGCAGAUUUGAGACGACUUUCUCACGGCUGCCCGACCACAUACCUCCAUAGUUUUUCCUCUAGAUCGUGUUUCUGCGGAGCUCGGGCGGAGCCCUGCUGAGACAAGAUCAUCACCAACCUCCGGAGCGCCGUCACGCUGCCGGAGAACUCUUCUACCUCUCCGUCUCUCUUGCUGGAUCAAGAAGGCCGAGAUCAUCGUCGAGCUGUACGUGUGCUGAACGCGGAGGUGCCGUCCGUUCGGUACUAGAUCGUGGGACUGAUCGCGGGAUUGUUCGCGGGGCGGAUCGAGGGACGUGAGGACGUUCCACUACAUCAACCGCGUUCUCUAACGCUUCUGCUGUACGAUCUACAAGGGUACGUAGAUCACUCAUCCCCUCUCGUAGAUGGACAUCACCAUGAUAGGUCUUCGUGCGCGUAGGAAAAUUUUUGUUUCCCAUGCGACGUUCCCCAACAAAAACAUCAUAGUAGAUGCAUAUGGACUCCGUUUUUGAUGAACUCGAGCUUGUCACGAAGAUGACCAUAAGCUCUAAAACUCACAAAGAGAAACACCAAACAAGAACCAAGAAGUAUGAUGCAAGGAUGCAAAUGGUUUGAGCUCUCAACGAACGAUACGAUCAAGCUACUCACUUGAGAUCCCCCCUUGAUAGUACAACAAUCUAUCCUAAACAGAAAACCUAUCAAGGGCAAACCUAUACCUUGCACCUCGUCCUCUUGAGCUAGAUGUUGAUGAUCUUGGCUUCCUCAAGAUGGACCACCUUUCUUGAUUGUGUUGGCUUGAUGAAGACUAGUUGAUUGCUCCCCCAUACUCACUAUGGGUGAGCCACUCUUUAGCAAAUCUUCACAAGUCCAUUGCCACCACAAUGGACAGCAAGCUUCAAGCAUGAUAUCUUCGUGCUGAUCCACUUGAACUUGCACAUCGCAAUCUUGAUGACGAUCACAACUUGACGUCAUACUUCAUGAGUUGUAUGAGAUCUUCCCUUUUGACGCAAGCCCAUGAAAACACACCUAACCCCCACAUAGAACUCUCACGAAGACCAUGGGUUAGUACACAAACACGUAAUGGACAAUGCUUACCAUACCAUGGGAUCACUUGAUCCCUCUCGGUACAUCUUGUAUGUUUUGUGUGUUGAUCAUAUUGAUUUACUCUUUGUCUGAGAUCUUGAUCAACCAUGUGUCUCUAUGACCAUUCUUUGGAUAAUACCUUGAAUACCAUCUUGGUCAUCAUAUAAACUCCUUGAACCCAACAGAUGGACUUCAAGAAGUGCCUAUGGACAAAUCCUAUAAAUGUAACUUAAGGCAACCAUUAGUCCAUAGGAAUUGUCAUCAAUUACCAAAACCACAUAUGGAGAUAUAUGCUCUAACACUCGACCCCGUAUCUAUGCACAGUGAAGGUCUCAGCACUAGAAUCUAUGGACCCCGACCUGGACCAAGUUGUCAGAUUCCUCAGAUGCUUUCGGUGCCUGGAGAAGCUAUAUAUCGAGGUGAUGAUCCUUUCAUGUUAAAUGUUAACCACAAUGGAGUUCAAUUUUGGAAACCUUGCAAAUCAAAUAGGUCCCUUGUGUGUCCAAGCACUAAUACCUUCUCUUCUUUUGCAGAUACGAUUAGGACACAUAGUGGAUAAUGUGAUACAAUAUAACAAUCCCGUCGAAUGCCUCGAUCUCUAUCUCUGAGAAAUUACUUUGAACUCCUAUCGAGGGACCUUACCGGAGAUUAAAUUUGCCAUGUUCUUUGUUGUGAUAGUAAGUGUGAUAAAGAUAAUGAGAUUUUCCCUNNNNNNNNNNNNNNNNNNNNNNNNNNNNNNNNNNCUACAUUUACUCCGCAAAAAAGAAUGGUUUGCUGAUCAGCUUCGGUGACUAGGACAGAAUGAAAAAGGCUCUACAGAAGCUCGAUUUCAUUUUGUAACUUCAGCUAAUAGACUAUUUGAAAGUCCUUAUGUCAAGCCCAUACAUGACAUGUCACUGGCGGAUCCCUUUGCGGAAAUAUUGAAGUUGUGAAUCUAGUUGUAACAUCAGCAUGAACCUCUCAUGUGUUCAUGUUCAGCUGAUCAGCGCGGGCAUCUCGAGCUGCAUGACAAAGUUUCUACAUAAGCUGAAUUUCAUUUCUAUUAUCGGUUUGAACCUUGUAAUCUUCGAGUUUGAGCCUUGUAAUUCUAGAAUUUGAAUUUUUGUACUACUUUUGUCAUUUAUGAUACAAUCAUUCAAAUGACAUCGUAUGAGACUCGUAUUUUGGUAGUACAAUUUUCCUAAGCGUGCAAUGUACGAUUAGUAUUUGGACCUUAAUAUGCAAUUGAUGGUUAAUAUCUCGACCUUAAGAAGCACAACCACGAUCGAGGGUAUCUUGCAGGGCUCCAAUGGCCCUCCGAGUGGCUGACGACGACGAGUGCGAGAUCACCAUGCAUGUCGUAGUGGAUACGCACAGAAGGUUCACGUACCGAGCUCUCGGUGGUGUACACCAACCAUCCGAUCUGGGUGGAGAACUCCUAUGUUAUGGACGUAUUGCUUGACAAGGACAUUACAAAAUGGUUUGGUUCGACCUUAUGUUCCUUGUGGCGCUCUACUCUCGCAUCCCUCUGCGUGCUCUGCUCUCGUGCCCCUCUGUGCAUGCUCUGCCAACGGUUGGGGCCUGCCCUCAAUCAUGUUCGGAGCUCCAUAUGCAUGCGGUUGCGCCACAUGUGUCGCCCCAUGCAGUUACGUGCUCCAUGAGUAAAUCACGCGCUGCAAAAACUGCCAUCCAGACAUGUCGGUUUUCCAGGACGUCUCGCUCUCAUUUAUACAUGCGGCCACUAAGCAUAGUCUCUUCAUGCUUUCGAUCGCACCCCACAACACAAUAAGCACACCCUCGACGACACAAUAAGCGGCACUCUAAUGGAGUUCGGCGUGCAUCAUGUGGACACCCACUUGAGUAAGACGGACCUCACGAUGGUGUACACCGUCGACCCGGCCGUGGUGGAGAACUCCAUCAACACCAUGCAGCUAUUGCUUGCUGCAGAUGACAAGUACAAAGUGGUCAGCUUCGACCUCGCGUACACCGGUGGUCGUGCCGGGCAUGAUGAGAAGGUUGUCUUGCCCAGUUGUGCGUGCGCCAUCACGCCCUCCUUUAUCACUACUGCCUGGCCACAAAGCCUUGCGAGUGUUUCACGAGGUUUGUCAACAACCACGACUACAGGCUUGCUACGGUGGACACCACCAACGAUCCAAAGGUGCUCAAGACUUCAGGCUAGGCAUGCUAGAAGCUUGUCGACAUCCACGACCACUACAAGGUCUGGGGAAGCAAGAAGGACAAGGAUUCCCAUGUUGACCUCGUCGUGGCCAUCAUUGACCCCUACUACAGAGACAUGAAGACCGAGUGCGACAAAAAUAAGCUUGUCUGGCACAAGGCGUGGGUGAGAGACCAGAUGAAUAUCACAUCUAGACCACGACCAAGGAAGCAUACGCAUGCUACGUGAUGUUCACGCAGAUUUUUGACAUGAUGAAGUGCCUCCUACCUGAAGACGAUGAGGGAUCAAGCCGCAAGCACAGUGAUGGCGGCAAGCGUCGCAAUAAGAAGAUGAUUUGAUGAUCGUUUCUUAUAGUUUAUUAUGCAUGUAAUAGUUUAUUGAGGUGGGCGCCAAUGUUAUGUGUGUAGUCACUUAUGUAUUUGGAUGCUUAAUUAGGUUAUGUAAUCAUGUUUUUAUGUGUGUAAUUGUUUAUUGAGGUGUUCCAAUGUUAUGUGUGUAGUCAUUUAUGUAUUUCAUGUUUAAUUUGGUUAUGCAAUAAUGUUAUUUGUUUGUGUUAUUUUCGCUCAUCGCACAUAAUUCAUCUGAGUUAUCUGUAUGUGCUACUGCGACAACAGACCUUCCCUCGCAAUGGCGCUAGGAAUUCUGCUGCUACGGGCUACGCCUAUAGGGACUUCCUUGGCAAAUAUGCAAAGGAUUUCCCCGCGGCCUUGGAGCCUUGCGUUGGUGUUCCCUUGAAGAGGAAAGGGUGAUGUAGCACAGCGGCGGUAAGUAUUUCCCUCAGUUUGAGAGCCAAGGUAUCGAUCCAGUGGGAGGAUCGCGUCAAGUCACAAGUACCUGCACAAACACAAAGAGCUUGCACCCAACGCUAUGAAGGGGUUGUCAAUCCCUUAUAGAUUGUUUGCAAAGUGAGAACUGAAAGCAAAGAGUAAACAAAGCAAAGUAAAAGUGAAAGUGGAGACGAUAGUUGUGAAUAGACCCGGGGGGCGUAGUGUUCACUAGUGGCUUCUCUCAUGAAAGCAAGUAGACGGUGGGUGAACGAAUUACCGUCGAGCAAUUGAUAGAACCGCGCAAAGUCGUGACGUUAUCUAUGGAAAUGAUUAUAUCUAUAGGCAUCACGUCCAAAACAAGUAGAUCGAUACUUUCUACAUCUACUACUAUUACUCCACACGUCGACCGCCAUCCAGCAAGCAUCUAGUGUAUUAAGUUCAAAAGAACAUAGUAACGCCUUAAGCAAGAUGACAUGAUGUAGAUGGACAAUCUCAAAUCUAUGAUGAAAUCCCAUCUUGUUACCCUUGAUGGCAACAACACGAUGCGUGCCUUGUUGCCCCUUCUGUCACUGGAAAGGUCACCACACGGUAUGAACCCAAAACCAAGCACUUCUCCCAUUGCAAGAAUCAUAGAUCUAGUUGUCCAAGCAAAACCCAAGACUCGGAGAGACUUACAAGGAUAUCAAAUCAUGCAUAUAAGAAAUCAACAAAGACUCAAAUAUAAUUCAUAGAUAAUCUGAUCACAAAUCCACAAUUCAUCGGAUCUCGACAAACACAACGCCAAAGUGGAUUACAUCGGAUAUAUCUCCAUGAAGAUCAUGGAGAACUUUGUAUUGAAGAUCCAAGAGAGAGAAGAAGCCAUCUAGCUACUAACUACGGACCCGUAGGUCUAAAGUGGACUACUCACGAGUCAUUGGAGAGGCGAUGAUGUUGAUGUAGAAGCCCUCCAACUCCAACGUCCCCUCUGGCAGGGCACCGGGAAGGGUCUCCAGAUGAGAUCUCACGGAAACGGAAGCUUGCGGCGGCGGAAAAGUGUUUUCGCGGAUGCCCUUAUUUUUUCUGCGAUUUUAGGGAAUUUAUAGGCCAAAGAGCUAGGGCAGGGGAGCGCCAGGGAGGCCACAAGCCUGGUUGCCGCGGGCCCCGUGGCCGCGGCAACAGGGCUUGUGGGCUCCCUGUGGGCCCCCUGCCUUGGCCCUCAAGUCCCCCGAUCUUCUUCAGUUCUGGAAAAAAAUAUUUCGGGGAUUUUAUUCCGUUUGGACUCCGUUCCAAAAUCAGAUCUGAAAAGAGUCAAAAACACAGAAAAAACAGGAACUGGCACUUGACACUGAAUUAUUAAGUUAGUCCCAAAAAAGAUAUAUAAGGUAUAUAAAACAUCCAAAGUUGACAAGAUAACAGCGUGAAACCAUCAAAAAUUAUAGAUACGUUUGAGACGUAUCAGUAUGUUGUUUAUCACACACUUAUUUAUUUGUGCACCAGUUUGUGUAAAAAAUCGUCGCAAACAGUUCAUCCAGGCAACAUGUUUGGUGCCUAUCGCACACGUCUUGAUUUGGGUGAUCGUUUGUGGUAUUUUAUGUCAUCACAAACACUUCAUCUGGCUCACCUGUAUGCCAUCAAUCACACACAUAAUCAUUUGGACAAUCGUUGGCGUUCUGCUUGAUCACUGCAAACAGUUUAUCUGAGUGAACUAUAUGUCGUACAUCGCACACACUUGUAUUUAGUUAACCGUCUGCAUUAUUUUGGUCCAUCACAAGCAGUUUCAGUGGGUCAAAUGUUUGUCGUAGAUCGUACACACAACUCUUUUAUGAAUCGUAUUUGAUGGAUCUUGUUGGGGAACGUCGCAAGGGAAACAAAAAAUUUCCUACGCGCACGAAGACCUAUCAUGGUGAUGUCCAUCUACGAGAGGGGAUUUCCGAUCUACGUACCCUUGUAGAUCGCACAGCAGAAGUGUUAGUGAACGCAGUUGAUGUAGUGGAACGUCCUCACGUCCCUCGAUCCGCCCCGCGAACCGUCCCACGAACCGUCCCGCGAUCCGUCCCACGAUCUAGUGCCGAAUGGACGGCACCUCCGCGUUCAGCACACGUACAGCUCGAUGAUGAUCUCGGCCUUCUUGAUCCAGCAAGAGAGACGGAGAGGUAGAUGAGUUCUCCGGCAGCGUGAUGGCACUCCGGAGGUUGGUGGUGAUCUGAUCUCGGCAGGGCUCCGCCCGAGCUCCGCAGAAACGCGAUCUCGAGGAAAAACCGUGGAGGUAUGUGGUCGGGCUGCCGUGGAAAAGUUGUCUCAAAUCAGCCCUAAUACGUCUGUAUAUAUAGGUGGGAGGGGAGGGGCCUUUCCUUGAGGUUCAAGGAGCCCCAAGGGGGUCGGCCGAGCCAAAGGGGGGAAGUCCUCCCCUUCCAAACCAAAUCCAACUAGGUUUGGAAGGUGGAGUCCUUCUCUCCUUUCCCACCUCCCUUUUUUUUUCUUUCUCUUUGAUUUCUUAUCCUUUGGCGCAUAGGGCCUUCUUGGUCUGUCCCACCAGCCCACCAAGGGCUGGUGCGCCACCCCCAAGGCCUAUGGGCUUCCCCGGGGUGGGUUGCCCCCCCCCCCCGGUGAACACCCGGAACCCAUUCGUCAUUCCCGGUACAUUCCCGGUAACUCCGAAAACCUUCCGGUAAUCAAAUGAGGUCAUUCUAUAUAUCAAUAUUCGUUUCUGGACCAUUCCGGAAACCCUUGUGACGUCCAUGAUCUCAUCCGGGACUCCGAACAACAUUGGUAACCAACCAUAUUACUCAAAUACGCAUAAAACAACGUCGAACCUUAAGUGUGCAGACCCUGCGGGUUCGAGAACUAUGCAGACAUGACCCGAGUGACUCCUCGGUCAAUAUCCAAUAGCGGGACCUGGAUGCCCAUAUUAGAUCCCACAUAUUCUAAGAUCUUAUCGUUUGAACCUCAGUGCCAAUGAUUCAUAUAAUCCCGUAUGUCAUUCCCUUUGUCCUUCGGUAUGCUACUUGCCCGAGAUUCAAUCGUCAGUAUCUGCAUACCUAUUUCAAUCUCGUUUACCGGCAAGUCUCUUUACUCGUUCCGUAAUACAAGAUCCCGCAACUUACACUAAGUCACAUUGCUUGCAAGGCUUGUGUGUGAUGUUGUAUUACCGAAUAGGCCCCGAGAUACCUCUCCGUCACACGGAGUGACAAAUCCCAGUCUCGAUCCAUACUAACUCAACGAACACCUUCGGAUAUACCUGUAGAGCAUCUUUAUAGUCACCCAGUUAUGUUGUGACGUUUGAUACACACAAAGCAUUCCUCCGGUGUCGGUGAGUUAUAUGAUCUCAUGGUCAUAGGAACAAAUACUUGACACGCAGAAAACAGUAGCAACAAAAUGACACGAUCAACAUGCUACGUCUAUUAGUUUGGGUCUAGUCCAUCACGUGAUUCUCCUAAUGACGUGAUCCAGUUAUCAAGCAACAACACCUUGUACAUAAUCAGAAGACCCUGACUAUCCUUGAUUAACUGGCUAGCCAACUAGAGGCUUGCUAGGGACAGUGUUUUGUCUAUGGAUCCACACAUGUAUAUAAGUCUUCAUUCAAUACAAUUAUAGCAUGGAUAAUAAACGAUUAUCUUGAUACAGGAAUUAUAAUAAUAACUAUAUUUAUUAUUGCCUCUAGGGCAUAAUUCCAAUAGAUCCACCAUCGCACACAGUUUGUGUCGUUGGUAACAGAGCUUGAACUAUACUGUUUGCGAUUGGUGUAUCGCACAGAGUUUCGUCGAAGGGUCUCUGAUUGAUGUGUCAUCUUUGGACCAUCAUGUAGUAGUGAGUGUUUGCUCUUUUUUGCAUAGGCGCUGAAGAUGGGGGUUGGGUGAUACUCCUAUUGGUUCGAUAACCUUGGUUCUCAAUGAGAGAAAUAAUUGUCUAUAUUGUGUUGCAUCAUCCCCUCCUCUUCGAGAAAAAAGCGCAAUGCAUAUCACAAGUAUCACGCACCCCCGACCUAAACAACACUAGGAUUUCAAUGAGGAAUAAGAAUGCCCACAUAUCAUUACUAUGCCAUAACCAAUAUUUAGAUGAACAACAAAUUAUCACCCUUUAACUAACGAUAUUUUUACUAACCAACAAUCAUGCACUCACGCCUUUUCAUAUUACCACAUCAAUAUCAUUAACUCACAUUUUUUAUGUGCUACAUGAAGGUUUUGAUUAUGCACUCUUUGAAUACCAAUUGUUUUUGGACUAGUAUUAUAAGCCAUGAAAAUUACCGUCACUGUUUAUUAACUCUCUGUUAGAGCAUAUUUCUCCAUAUGUGGUUUUGUAAUUGAUGACAAUCCCUAUGGACUAAUGGUUGCCUUAAGUUAUAUUUGAAGGAUUUGUCCAUAGGCACUUCUUGAAGUCCAUCUAUUGGUUUCAAGGAGUUUAUAUGAUGACCAAGGUGGUAUUCAAGGUAUUAUCCAAAGAAUGGUCAUAAAGACACAAGCUUGAUCAAGACUAAGACAAAGAGUAAAUCAAGAUGAUCAAUAUACAAAGCGUACAAGAUGUACCGAGAGGGAUCAAGUGAUCCCAUGGUAAGCGCUUUUGUGUACUAACUCAUGGUCUUCAUGAGAGUUCUAUGUGGGGUUAGGUGUGUUUCCAUGGGUUUGCGUAAAGAGGAAGAUCUCAUUCAACCUAUGAAGGAUGACAUCAAGUGGUGGUCGUCGUCAAGAUUGCGGUGUGCAAGUUCAAGCGGAGCAUCAUGAAGAUAUCAGGCUUGAAGCUUAUCGUCCAUUGUGGUGGCAAUGAACUUGUGAAGAUGUGUUGAAGAGUGGCUCACCCAUAGUUAGUAUGGGGGAGCAAACAACUAGUCUUCAUCAAACCAACACAAUCAAGAAAGGUAGUCCAUCUUGAGGAAGUCAAGAUCAUCAUCAUCUAGCUCAAGAGGACUAGGUGCAAGGUAUAGGUUUGACCUUGAUAGGCUUUUCUAUUUUAGGAUAGAUUGUCGUACUGUCAAGGGGGGCUGAUACGUCUCCGUCGUAUCUACUUUUCCGAACUUUUUUGCCCUUGUUUUGGACCCUAACUUGCAUGAUUUGAAUGGAACUAACCCGGACUAACGUUGUUUUCAGCAGAAUUGCCAUGGUGUUGUUUUUGUGCAAAAAUAAAAGUUCUCGGGAUAUCCUGAAAAUUUACGGAGAUUUUUCCUGGAAUAAAAGAAAAAUACUUGCGCAAAGAUCUACCAGAGGAGGUGGACCAGUGGGCCACAAGCCCACAGGCCGCGGCCACCCCCCCGGCCGCGUCGUGAGGGCUUGUGGGCCCCACGUGGCUCCACCGCCCCCAAACUCAGCUCUAUAUCUUCCGUCUCGCCCGGAAAAAAAUCAGAGAGAAGGUUUCAUCGCGUUUUGCGAUACGGAGGCGCCGCCACAUCAUGUUCUUCAUCUGGAGGGCAGAUCUGGAGUCCGUUUCGGGCUCCGGAGAGGAAAAAUCGUCGCCAUCGUCAUCAUCAACCUUUCUCCAUCGACAAUUCCAUGAUGCUCUUCAUCGUUCGUGAGUAAUCUCAUCGUAGGCUUGCUGGACGGUGAUGAGUUGGAUGAGAUCUAUCAUGUAAUCGAGUUAGUUCUUGACGGGGAUUGAUCCCUAGUAUCCACUAUGUUCUAGAUUGAUGUUGCUACUACUUGGCUAUGCUUAAUGCUUGUCACUAGGGCCCGAGUGCCAUGAUUUCAGAUCUGAACCUAUUAUGUUGUCGCCAAUAUAUGUGUGUUUUAGAUCCUAUCUUGCAAGUUGUAGUCACCUACUAUGUAUUAUGACCUGGCAACCCCGGAGUGACAAUAGCCGGAAACACUCCCGGAGAUGACCAUAGUAUGAGGAGUUCAUGUAUUCAUCGUGUGUUAAUGCGUUGGUACGGUUCUUUAUUAAAAGGAGAACCUUAAUAUCCCGUAGUUUCCAUUAGGACCCCGCUGCCACGGGAGGGAUGAACAAUAGAUGUCAUGCAAGUUCUUUUCCCUAAGCACGUAUGACUACAUACGGAAUACAUGCCUACAUUAGAUUAACGAAUGGGAGCUAGUUACUUAUCUCUCCAUGUUAUAGCUGUUACAUGAUGAAUCACAUCCAUCACACUCAUCCAUCACUGAUCCACUGCCUACGAGUCUUGUACUACUGGUCCUUGCUACGUUACUUUGUCUAGGCUUGUCCCUUGCUACAAAAGGGAUUGGGACCCUUUGCUACUACUGUUGCUACUGCUGUUACUUGUUGCAAGAUCUUUUCCGACACUGUUGUCGGGGAAGAAUAGUUACUCGUCCACGUGCAACCUUCUGGCGCCAUUGAUACAACAGUUAGGAAUAGUCUGCCGUCAACAGAUCGUUUGUGGCACUGUUGCUAUCAUACUACUUUACUACUGAUACUUUGCUUACAGACACUAAUCUUUCGGGUGUGGUUGAAUCUGACAAACUCAGCUGCUAAUACUUGAGAAUAUUAUUUCACUUCUUCUUUGGUGAACCAACGAAUUUGGGUUGAAUACUCUACCCUCGAAAACUGCUGCGAUCCCAUACGCUUGUGGGUUAUCAAGGCCUUUUUCUGGCGCCGUUGCCGGGGAAGCACAGCUAUAUUCUCUGAGUCACUUGCGAUUCACGUCUGCUGGUCAUUAUGAGGAAUCCAAAAGAUCCAAGAACUAAAAUCCUACCUUCCACUACGAGGAGAGGUAAGGAACUGCCAUCUAGCUCUGCACUUGAUUCACCUUCAGUUUUGAGUAAGUUUGCGACUUCGUCUCGUGCUAGAAAUCUCGAUACUAUGCCUGAUGAUGCUAUGAUUGAUACUAUGCAUGAUGAUGCUAUGCUUGAUACUAUGCCUGAUGAUGCUAUACUUGAUACUAUGCAUGCUAUGCUUGAUACUGCUUUGCCACUUGGUGCAUUCCUUGAUGCACAUAUUGCUAGAGCUGCUGCUAGAUGUGAUGAUACUUCUGAAAUUGCUGAUACUAUUGAAGUAGAACCUGCUACUAUGCAUGAAUUGCCUGUUAUGCCUGAUACGCGCUAUGUUAUGGAGGGAGAGAUAGCUGAGGACUUUCUUGCGUGUAAGGAUAGCUAUGAUGUUGAGAAACUACUGCGCAAGUGGAAGGAAAAAUCUCUAAACGCUAGGAUGAAAUACGACCCAAAGUUUGCUACUUCGUCUAUUUUUGUGACCGAUAAGGAUUAUGAAUUCUCUGUCGACCCUGAAUUAAUCACUCUGGUCGAAUCUGAUCCUUUUCACGGUUAUGAGUCUGAAACGGUUGUAGCCCAUCUUACCAAACUCCAUGAUAUAGCCACCCUAUUCACUAGUGAGGAAAAGAUCCGCCACUACUAUAUGCUCAAGUUGUUUCCUUUCUCGCUAAAGGAUGAUGCUAAGACUUGGUUCACUUCUCUUGCUCCUCGUUGUGUGCGUAGCCCCGAAGAUAUGGUCUACUACUUCUCUGAAAAAUAUUUCCCUGCCCAUAAGAAGCAAGCUGCCUUGCAGGAAAUAUACAACUUUGCUCAAGUUGAGGAAGAGAGUCUCCCACAAGCUUGGGGGAGGCUUAUCCAGCUACUGAAUGCCUUGCGUGAUCACCCUCUUGAGAAGAAUGAGAUACUUGAUAUCUUCUAUAAUGGACUUACCGAUGCUUCCAAAGACCACCUAGAUAGUUGUGUUGGUUGUGUUUUUAGGGAACGAACUGUAGAACAAGGUGAGAUCCUAUUGAAUAACAUCUUGUGCAAUGAGAAUGCUUGGACUAGUCCUGAACCACCUCCUAAGCCAACUCCGAAGAAAAGAGGUAUUCUAUUCCUCAGUCCUGAAGAUAUGCAAGAAGCCAAGAAAUCUAUGCGAGAGAAAGACAUUAAAUCUGAAGAUGUCAAAAAUCUACCACCUAUCGAAGAGAUCCAUGGUCUCGAUAACCCGAUACAGGUAGUAGAAGUAAAUUCUCUGCGUAGGUUUGAUGAGAGUGAUAUUCCUUUUGAUAAACCUGCUAGCUCAUGCAUGGAUGAAUUUGAUAACUUUGUUGCCAAACAACAGAGUUUCAAUGAUUAUGUUAGCAGACAAUUGGAAAAGAAUGCUCGUAUGCUUAGUCAUUUAAGUGCUUGUGUGGACAGAAAUGUCAAUGAUCUUAAGCUCCUGAGUAAACAUGCCUCUAUGGUUACUACUCAGGUAGAACAAGUACUUAAAGCUCAGAAUGACUUGCUCAAUGAGUUGAAUGAUAAUUCUGUUAGAGUCGACACUAGAGGCGGUAGAAUGACCCAGGAACCUUUGUAUCCUAAGGGUCAUCCGAAGAGAAUUGAACCAGAUUCUCAAGGAGUUAGCACUGAUGCACCUAGUCAUCCUAGAAAGAAGAAGAAAGAUGAUAGGAACCUGCACGCUAGCAACCAUGUUGCUGCUACACCUGAGAGUCCAAAUGAUGCCUCCGUCUCUGAUGUUGAAACACAAUCUGGCGAUGAACAUGAGCCUAAUGAUAAUAUCAAUAGUGAUGUUCAUGUUGAUGCUCAACCUAGCAACGAUAAGGAUGUGGAGAUUGAACCUGAUCUUGAUAACCCAUAGCCUAAGACUAAGAGAUACGAUAUGAAUGACUUCGCUGCUAGGAAGCAUGGUAAAGAAAGGGAGCCAUGGGUUCAGAAACCCAUGCCCUUUCCUCCCAAACUAUCCAAGAAAAAGGAUGAUGAGGAUUUUGAGCGCUUUGUUGAAAUGAUCAGACCUGUCUUUCUGCAAAUGCGUUUGACAGGUAUGCUCAAAAUGUCUCCGUAUGCUAAGUACAUGAAAGCUAUUGUGACUAAUAAGAGGAGGAUACCUGAGGUUGAGAUUUCCACCAUGCUUGCUAAUUAUACCUUCAAUGGUGGAACUCAGAAGAAACUAGGUGAUCCCGGUGUGCCCACUAUACAUUAGAGCUGUGUUAUGCGACCUUGGAGCCGGUGUUCGUGUUAUGCCUCUCUCUCUCUCUCUUUAUCGUAGACUUGAACUGGAUAAGUUGACACCCACUGAAAUCUCUCUGCAAAUGGCCGACAAAUCAACUGCUUUCCCUAUCGACAUUUGUGAGGAUGUGCCUGUUGUGGUUGCUAACGUCACUAUCUUAACAGACUUUGUUAUCUUGGAUAUUCCUGAGGACGAUGCCAUGGUGGUCAUCCUCGGAAGACCCUUUUUAAACACUGCAGGGGCUGUUAUAGAUUGCAACAAAGGCAAUGUCACUUUCCAUGUCAAUGGUAAUGAUCAUAGAGUGCACUUUCCGAAGAAACAAUAUCGAGUACAUUGCAUCAAUGCUAUCGAAAAAACCUCAUCGAUUCUUAUUGGGAGCUUUUAAUGCCCUAUUCCUCGUGUCAAGAUGAAGUAUGAUUUGCUUGUUGGGGAGAUACACAUCCCCAUUGAGGUAACCUAGUGACUAUUCAAAAAUUCUCCAUUCUCUUUUGCGAUUCGAAAAGGUUUGUCAAAGAGGCCUGAUCAACCUCACUGACGGAUUUCUUUCGAUGACCAUGAGAUGGAUGAAUCGAGGAGUCACAAACCUUUGUUCCAAGCUUUCACCUUCGGUUGCUUAGAAGAAAAAUGAUAGAUUUAGUUUAGUUUUCCCUGUUUUCUGUUUUAGCGCCCGAUAGAAAAGUACCCCAAAAAUAAAAGUUCUCCCAACGUCCUGAAAAUCAAGUAUGUUUUUUUCUGGAUUUUUUGAAAAAUUCUGAGACAAAGAGCUUGUGUGGGGGCCACACCAGUGGGCCCCAAGCCCUAGGGGCACGGGCACCCCCCUAGUCGCGCCACCCAGGCUUGUGGGGCCCACAGGCACCCCCUCCACUCAUUCUUGCUCUUAUCUCCUUCUCCUACCUCCAGAAAAAUCGUUUCGCAGCUCAAACCCGUGUUCUUGCUCCUCUUGCUGGGAUUUUCGAUCUCUUUGCUCAAAUCACCGUUCUCCAAACUGUUUUGGGGAAAUUACUCCUUGGUAAGUGACUCCUCCAUUGGUCCAAUUAGUUUUUGCUCUAGUGCCUUAUACUUCGCGUAUUUUUGCUGCCUUGGUGACCAUGUUCUUGAGCUUUGCAUGCUAAUUUUAGCUGGUCCCAAGUAGUUUUGAUGCGUAAUAUGGCCUCUAGGCACUUGUGGGAGUAGUUGCUACGAGUUUCGUUGAACCUUGUUCACCUUUCCUUAGAAUCACUGAAAAUUUCAGAAAAGGAAGAUGUUCAGGAGAAACUUUCAUGGUGGUUUCUCAAGCAAGAGAGGUCCCCGUCUUGUGAUUCGGGAGCCUGAUCCUUACCAACCAAGGGAUGCACACGUACAACCAUGUGAAUGGCCUUCUGAUGAAUUUAUGAUUGAGGCAGGUUUCAAAGAUGAGUUUGAUGCACUUGUUCACAACGUCGGACUCGAAGAGUUCAUCUCCGAUAAAUGUGGACAACAUGUUGCUCUCACUGCCUCUUUUGUUCGUAGAUUCAAAUUUUUAGCUGGCCGUGAGACAUCGGUACUGUUUGAUCUCUAUGAUAAAUCUUAUACCAUGGAUUUAGAGGAUCUCAGUAGAAUUUGCAAAAUACCUAUUUGGGGUAGCCUCAAUGAUCCUCCUAAAUCUUCGGUUAGAGAUUUUUGCUCUAGUAUUACCGUUGGAGAAACUAGAGACAUUACGCAAGCUACCAUGGGGGGUAUUCAUUUUCCUGCCUUGCAUUACUUUGCCCUCUUCAUAGGCAGAUGCAUUAAUGGAAAGAUUGAGCAUUGUCACCUCUGUGCACCUGACCUUAGUAUCCUUAAGAGCGCAGUGACAUGUGACAAAAGCUUCAACAUGGGAGCUAUUAUAGCAAGGAGGCUGAAUAAGAAUGCUAAUGAAGGGGAUUUCUUUGGUGGGAUCUAUGCCACUUGCAUAGCAAAUUUUCUUGGAGUACCCAUCCGCGAAGGAGAUCCCCGGCUCCAUACAGCUUUCCUUGACCGCGUCGCUUUGAAACGCUACCGGUUCCUUGAGAGGGAUGGUGAAUCCCUCCUAUACCGAUUGAUAUUUAACCGGCAACGUGUUUUCCAUAUUACCCUUCCUGCUCCUGCCUUCUUUGACUUUCAGGUAAAACGGAGAUAUUACAUAACCAGAGGAGAGGCAGAGGAGUAUGAGAGGGAGGCAAAGGCUGCUCGCCUCCGUGAGGCAGCUAUUCAGGCAGUGGCUGCAGCAUUCCCGUAUAACCCCCAUUAUGAUUUUGGGUUUCACCAGGACCAUCCUUGGGAGUAGACCAAGUUAGGCCAAAAGCCUAAGCUUGGGGGAGUACGUGUUCUCACCAACUUUACAUUCUUGCUUACGCUUUCACUUUGUUCGUCGGUGUUCACACUUUGCCACUGUAUCAUCCAUGUUAGUUUAUUUUCUUUUUCUUGUUUUCUUUUCGUGUGUCUGUCCAGUUUGAGAAAACCCAAAGAGAUUUUCUUUUCUUUUUUUUCUUGUUGGGAGCUUUGCCGUGUAGAUAGUUUUCUUUUUCUUUGGGUCAAGGUAGAAGAUAUUGGUUACAAUGUUUAGUGGCUCUUGCAUGCAUACCUGUUUAGCUUUCAAAGAGCCAUAUUACUUUGUCUUCUCCUUUGUGUUUGCCUGCAGAUUCCAGCAUAGUCCAAUGCACGAGCACUCUUAUUAUUGUUCACAUCGUUCGGUCGUGCAAGUGAAAGGAAAUAAUGACGAUAUAUGAUGAAGUGACUGAGCCUGGAAAAGCUGGUAUGAACUCGAUCUAUUUUGUUUUUGUAAUUAUGACUAGCUCAUCUUGCGUGAUUCAGCUUUGUUGUGAGAAAACAUGUUCACAAUGACAACUUAGAGAUCAUAGUUGCUUAUGCCAUGCUUACUUAGCUAGGAGCUUAUAAUGGUUUGUCUUGGAUGCCCACAUGAAUGUUGAGAUGACUAUGAUGUAGUGUGAUAGGAUGGUAUCCUCCUUUGAAUGGUUCAAGUGGCUUGACUUGGCGCAUGUUCACACAUGUAGUUGAAACAAAAUCAACAUAGCCUCUAUGAUGUUCAUGUUCAUGGUGAUUUAUGUCCUACUCAUGCUUGCACUCAAUGUUAGUUAAUCUCAAUGCAUUUUGAUGACUGUUAUCGCUCUCUAGUUGGCCGCUUCCCAGUCUUUUGCUAGCCUUCACUUGUACUAAGUGGGAAUACUGCUUGUGCAUCCACUCCCAUAAACCCAAAGUUGUGCCAUAUGAGUCCACCAUACCUACCUAUGUGCGGUAUCCACGUGUCGUUCCAAGCAAAUUUGCAUGUGUCACUCUCUAAAUCUUCAAGAAAUAAUCUGUUUUGCAUGCCCGAACCGCUCAUGUGGUGACAAGGGGCUAUUGGUAUCUUCCAUGCUAGGCGUGUUAUCCUCGAUAUGUGUUUAUUCAUUAUCAUUCACGAGAAAGGGGCCAGUAAUUGGAAUUCCCAGUUCCAUGCUCAAAUCGAAAAGAUAAUUGCAAACAAAACUCCCCCAGGAUUGAUGUUGGUAUGGACGGUACCCGAGGAUUCGGCUAGCCGUGGAGUGUGAUUGAUUGGUGGUGGGGGAGUCAAAACUUUACUUUUCUGUUUGGGAACCACCUAUAGCAUGUGUAGCGUGGAAGAUGUUGAGAACUCUUAGUCAUUGCGUUGACAAUGAGAGCAUGCCACCAAGAAUUAUUAUCUCUGUUUUAAAAGCUUGAGCUCUGGCACCUCUGCAAAUCAAUGCUUCCCUCUGCGAAGGGCUUGUCUAUUUAUGUUCCUCUUGAGUCAUCCUCCUCUUACAAAAGCACCAAUUAGAGAGCACCUCUAUUAUUUUUAUGCUUUGCUUUUAACUGUGUUGAGUAUGACUAUGACUGGAUCUUCAUUGCCUUGAAUUACAAUGUUUAGUCAGCCCUUGGUAUUUGAAGGUGCUUUGCAUUUAUGUUUUGCGGUCUCAGAAAGAGCUAGCGAGAUACCAUCUGUUCGUACUGCUUCAUGAUUGUUUUGAUUGAAGUGUUGACGUUUGAGCCUUAUCAUUAUUUGCUCGCUAGUUGAUUAUGCCAUUGAUAUGAGUUUACCUGAGACCUAGAUGUCAUUUGCUUAUGUGGUUUGCUUGUGUUCUUGCUGAAAUUCUGGUUAUGAGUUAGACAUAGUUGCAACCACAAGAUCAAACAGAGUUCGUCAAAGUUUUUCUUUUGUCUCUCUCAGUUUGUCAACUGAGUUGCUUGAGGACAAGCAAGGCUUUAAGCUUGGGGGAGUUGAUACGUUUCCGUCGUAUCUACUUUUCCGAACUCUUUUGCCCUUGUUUUGGACUCUAACUUGCAUGAUUUGAAUGGAACUAACCCGGACUAACAUUGUUUUCAGCAGAAUUGCCAUGGUGUUGUUUUUGUGGAGAAAUAAAAGUUCUCGGAACAUCCUGAAAAUUUGUUGAGAUUUUUUCUGGAAUAAAAAAAAAUACAUGCGCAAAGAUCCAUCGGAGGAGGUGGACCAGUG